rnacentral:lncRNA from 1 species
GAUUUGGAUGGUCAUGUAUAUAAUUGUGACAACAGAGAGAGAGUUUGUCGUGUAGCGGGCAACAUGGGGUUCAACUUUUUGGGAUUUGUGGAAAAGAAGGUGACUAAAACCGACAUUUCAGCAAUGGAUUGAUAAAAAAUCAAGAAUAAAGAAAGCAAGAAAAUGAAGGGUUGUAGGGUAGGUAUAGGAUAGGACAGCUUUGUGUAUUUUGCAAUAAGAAAAAACACACUCUCUCUAGCUUUUUAUUUUUUUCUUUCUUUCUCACUCUUUUGUUUUGAAGAGUCUUUAAACGCAUAUUCAGAGAUGGGGGGUGAAUGUGGUGAUUAAUGUUACAAACUUGCUUUUUUGUUGAGAGAAGAGAACCUGAUGCCCUUUUGAUGUGUGAGUGGGUGAUGCUGUUUUUCUCUCCUUCUCAUUUCUCUCUCUCUCUCUCUCUCUCUCAGAACAGUACUCAUAAACGCCUCAUUUCUCUCUUAUUGUCUUCUAAAAAUCUCCUUGAAAAAUGGCAAGUCAAAUUCCCAAGGUUUGUAUGCCCUAAUCUUCUGUUCUACCUCCUUCAUUCUGGAUCUCUUCUACAUCUACUCUGGCAGCAGCCAUCUUUUUUCCUGGGUCUGUUGCUGGACUUGUUCUUUUCUCACUUCUUUUGAACGUUGAAACUUACUUAUUAACUAUGAUUUCACCAUCUCUUUUGUCUUCUGAGCUUCUGGGUUCCUUCAAUUCUUUCUGUUUCUUAGCCCCAAGGAUAAUGGCCAAUUACAUGGGUUUAUGCUGGAUUUCGUUUAUUAUCUGUUCAACUAUUUGAGAUUUGGGUUUUUUUUGGUUUGUCUGAACUCUCGACUAUAAAUCCAGUUCGACAGUUUUUUUUUUUUUUAACCUGUAAAUCUCUCUCUCUUUGGUUCCUUUCCUAAAAGCUUUCUUCGCUCGCUGCCCAGCUGAAUUUCUUGUGCAGCGUUAUAUUUUCCUAUUUAUGUAACACUCUUGCCUUUAGUAUUCUCUAUUAUCUUAAUUAUGAUUUGCCUUUUUAUGGGAUUUGAUCGUUUCUUGAAACUUUGGUCGUGGAUGAUGUUAUCAUUUCAGGACUUUAUUACUCUUUGGGUUCGCACACAUAAAAUAACGCUCCCAUGAAAUUUAGACUUUAUUGAACAACAUCUUUCCUUGCGGGUUAUAUGCUUUACUUGAUCAAUCAAAACGCAGAUGCCUCAAAUUCACUCCUUCUCUUCACAUAAAAUAACGUUCUAGACUGUAGAAUCUCCGACUGCCUUCGUCUCAUGUGUCUUCCUUGAAACUCUUGAUCUCAUCACCUCUUUCUUCUCUCUAUUGCAGGCUAAAUGGUUGAAGAUUCGAGUGGGAUUGUUUGACCCGAAUACUGCUUUCUGUCGCUGCUGCUUCGCGUGGAGGUUCGGGGUUACCACAAGCUACAAUUAGAGAGAAAUAAGAGACAAUCAAAGAGGAAGAGAGAGGGGUUUUGUUAUGCUGAAGAUAAGGGGCAGUGCUGGAGAUAGAAGCAGUAUCAGUGUGCUUGUGACUGUUGUACAAACAGCACAAGAAGAGAGAAGCCUUUCAUCAGAUGUUAUCCAUUCAAAACCCUCCACCAGAUGCCCCAUGUCCUUGUCAAUUUCUAGUACAGCUGAAAAGUGGUGGUGAUGAGAUCGAGAGACCUCAUAAACUUCCUUUGCCUGAAGUAGAUCUGCUAAAGCAGCCGUCUCUUGAUAAUCAUCAUCAUCAUCAUCAUCCUAAUAUCCCACUCCCCGAAUUCUCCAUAAGGUAAUUUAAUUUGUGUUCCUUGUCCUCUAUCUAGCGUUAUCUUCAGCUCGAAAAUGAAUAGUAACCUUGAUGCGUUUUCUCAUGGCGUUCUAACAGCUUCUCUUUUAUCUUUUCUUAAGACUUUUCUUGGGUCAGAUCCAGAGUUUGAUGUUACCUGGUGACUCAGUUCAACAUGGGGCCUAACUAUUGACACACCCUAAUCUUGUCCCUAUUUUGGUCUUUGGAGGGGGCUUUUGCUUAUGAACUCCUUCACGGCACUUAAUACCUCCAGCCAUAAGAUGAUAUUAGUCAACCUGUAGUUGGCUCUUAUUUCUUGGUUGGGUCUUUGAUUUCACGUCACUUUGUACUUGGGAUUUUAUCUUGGAGCAAACUGCUGGGAAGUUCUUGCUUUGUCUUUGCUACCUGUGUACUUGUCUCAUCCUUUACCAUAUCAUGCAGCAGGCUGAGAGUACUUUCAUUUUUCCUUUUCUUUUUUGCGGGGGUUCAGUUUAAUAGAUUACUGAAUCUUGGGUUUUGUUUUGCUUGGCUGUUUCUUUGCUGUUGAUGUGUUCCUCUCCUUCGAGUAUUUUUAUGGUCCAUGUGUCCCCCUCCUUCCUGAGUUGGCAUACAAUGUCAUUCUUCUAAAUUUUAACCUUUGCUUCCCCUAAGAAAGCUCGUGGAUGAGUUAUUACUUCUUUUAUUAGUAACCCUUUGAGCAUAUAUGAAUUUUUGAUGAAUUUUAUCCCAGUACUGACAACAGAGAACAUCUUGUACUGUAGAGAUUAUGUGUUCACUGCCCGAGGCAAGGAUAUCAAGAAGAAUUGGCCGUUUUCUCCAAAAAAUUUGCAACUUUGUCUGAAGCAUGGCUUGAAGGAUCCAUUGCCACCAUUUCAGCCUCUUGAUGUGGUAAGAAACCAAUCCGUAGAGAGAUGUGUGGUUGAAACGAAUCCAUUUGAGAGGCAAAAUACAAGGAAAUUCGAUGAAGAGCCAUCUGGGCCAAACGAUCAUAUGGUACUAGAGUCAUCCAAUAAUGCUUACUCAAACCAUAACCUAGCAGGUAUUUGCAUAGACGAUAGCUUGUGCAGAUCCGGAGGAGAACAUGAAAAUGAUUUACCCUCCACAACGACAAGUGUUUCUCAAUCUGAAAUAGAGUCGGUUUUGAUUAACAAGGAAUCCAACUUACCAUUAGAAACCGAUACUUCAGUGGAAGCAUCAGCUGAAGUUCAAGCUGCUGUUCCUUUUAAGUCCCAUAAGACCGAAAACACAACCCGACCCACAGGAAAGAAGUGCAGAUUAAUAGUGAAAUUUGGUGCCCAUUCUGAUCGUAGCUCGCCUGAAGAUAUUGCUUCAAAUUGUACCAUGCUAUCUGAAUCGAUGGCUUCUAAAGUUUGCCCUGUUUGUAAAACUUUUUCGUCCUCUUCUAAUACCACCUUGAAUGCUCACAUCGACCAGUGUCUUUCUGUUGAGUCAACUGCCAAGUGGACAGCGGAUUCUAAGCUUACCAGGCAUAGAAUUAAACCAAGGAAGACAAGACUGAUGGUGGACGUAUAUGCUACCGCUAAAUCAUGCACAUUAGAAGAACUUGACAGGAGGAAUGGUACAAGCUGGGCCACCGCGUCAAAAAUCCCUAGACAGGAUUCUGAGAGACUUGAAAUAUCUGAUGAUGGGAAAAAGAAAAGAGUCUCCCCCAUUAAUCCCGAGGAUACUAGUGAUGCAGGUGCUGUUUAUGUUGAUGCCAAUGGUACCAAACUUCGGAUUUUAUCAAAGUUUAAUGAUGUGCCACCAGUGUCAAAAGUUGGAGAUGAUCUUGGAACGCACAAAUCUUUGAAAGGAGGUAAAGGAAGCAAAUUCUUUUCAACCAAAAAGAAAAGGUGCCAUGCCCCAAAACAUCACAAGUAUCUCAAACUUGCUCCUCAAAGCAGAAAAUUUUUCUCGCAUAAGACCCGUUCUUCAACGGUAUGACUCUCUUUUCUCCAUAUGGAUCUUCUGUCCUUUGUACCAGAUUAUUUUAUAUUUCUUUCUUAGGUGCAUUUGAAGAAAUUUUCGGUGUGUAUUUGUUGUUAACUAGCUGAUUGGGUUAUCUUUCUAAAUGCCUAGAAAACAUAAGUAUUUCUGAAGUGAAAAUUAAACAACCAUAUAUGCCCUUAGUUGCAGAAUCCUCUCCAUGUUUUUGUAGUUUGUGAUUAUAACUUUAGCAGUGGCCGUGGUAUCCACUUAGCUGCCAGAAUAAUAGGGUGUAAAAUAUAAAUGCUUUCUUGACCUAAACAAAAUUUGACUUAUCAUCUUUGAUGCAAAUUUUGUAAUCUAAGAAUUUAGUAUUGGAAAUCAAUACAGUUGCUAUACCGUUUUUAAACAGAUGGUUGGAGGACAAGAAGGAUACUGUGGAGUAGAAGAAAGACCUCGACCACAUGUGCCAAAGCAAAUCAAAUCCAAUGAUUCUAGAAACUUUAGAGAAAGGGUGUGCUCUAAACGAUCAGGUCUUUCAGGGAAGCCUAAUAAUCAAGAUGGACAUCAACCUUUGAUUUGUAAACAGCAUGUUUCUCGGGGCUUGCGGGUUCAGAGUCACCAAUCACAUCAAGGUGAUCUUGUUGUGGAGAGAAAUUGUGUUCGCAAGCUUAAAAAUUCAUCUGAAAGUCCAAUUUCUUCUCCUGAGAAAUGUGAGAGCAUAGAGAAGCCUGUUUAUGAAGCCCCAGUUAUUGAUAAGAGGGAGCCUUCUACGGGAAAAAAGGGAGUAAGGAGUCCCUUGUUUGGAGCCAGAAUCUGUAACAAGGUGGAGAGGUCUUUUCACCCACUUAAGCAAAAUGCAAAUCAGUUGAGCAAAGACCAUCCCCAUCUAGAUGAGGAUUAUAUGGUGAGAUCUCUAAACUCUGGUGGAAAUUGCUCAUCUUCAUGGAGCAAAAAGAUGGUUGAUAUUGGUGCAAAUAGUAAUCCCGAUACUCUAGUUGCUGCUAUUUCACCUAUCAGUCAUCUUUCUUCUGCAUCCAAAUGCUUCAGAUUUUCCUCACCAAAGAAAAAUGUGCGGUCUUCUAGCAGCCAGUCAUCCAUGGUUAAAUCUAGUUCUAGCUUGGUUAAGAAUUAUUCAACAAGGGAGAGUCAACUGCAUUUUAUGGCAGAAAUAGAUGAGAAGGAAGUGGCCUGGGAUCUUGAGGCAGAUCAAGAAUGUGACUUAGUGCAUGAUGGUGCUAAAAAUCAAUGUGAGGGGAAAGAAAUUUCUGAAGAAAUGUCAUUUGGUGGAAGCGGUAUCCAGGGAGCCGAAGAACAAAGAGGAAGAAAAAGUAUUUCCCGGAGGGAGGAAAGCAUGGCUUUGAUGAGCAUAAAAUCAGUACCUCAUGGUUAUGAUCAUGAUGAGAGAGAGAACUCAGAUUCUUCUGUAAGAGGUAGUCAUCAGGAUAUUCUGUAUAAAGUUGAUGGUUUGGAAUCUAUUGAGGAGACGCUUACUAGUUUGAAUCAGUCAGUAGAAACCAAGUUUAACAAGCUGAGUAAUCUUUCCAAGAAUAGAUCCAAUUCUUUACAGACUAAUGAAGAUUACAAUGGGCCUUUGUGUGGGGUUGAAGGACUGGCUGACCCUGCUGAGCCAAGUCUUGUUGAAAAACCAAAAAUGUUUUGUGCUGAUGUUGGCCACACUAUAAUUGGACAUACUGCUAAUAUGGGAGGAGAAUUAGAUUCUGAUGCUGCACAACGGAAUUCUUUUCCUGAGGUUGAUCCAAUACCUAUUCCUGGUCCACCAGGAUCAUUUUUGCCUAGUCCUAGAGAUAUGUGCUCUGAUGAUUUUCAAGGGAAUUCGUCAUUGACCAUCAGCCGGAUUCAAUCCUCUCAAGAUCAGCUUGAUUUGGUUGAUGGGGACUCAUCAGAUUCACCCAUAUCUGCUGUGUCAACAAUCUCUAAUUCUGCAGAAGCUAGGUUAGAUUUGAAGUAUGGAGAACCAUUAGCAUUUGCUGGUGCUCCUGCAGCUCUAAAAAUGGAUAGGUCUGGCUACUCUACUGCCAAGUCUGAGCCCUUAGUUGGGCACGGUGCCGUUGUUCCACAUACAAGCUCAGGACCUGAAAGAACUUUUGAAGGAGAGAAGUUUAGAGCCCGUAGAAUAUCUUUUGAAAAGAGACCUUUGAUUUUUAAAAAUGAUGAUCAGACAUGCUGUUGCCAGAGAAAAGACAGAUCCUCCCAGGGUUUUGCCCUGAAUUAUCAGGAGUCCCAACUAUUAAGGCGACGAACAAUGGCUUCAAUGAUGGUGCCUGCCAUGGGAAUGCCAGUCGGUGCCAAUCCUAAUAUCAGUCCUAAUAAUUUGGAUGCAAGACCAGAAACAUUUUCUCUGAGCAGCAGUACAAGUUUAGGAUCUGAACAAAUGGUUCUACCUGUGAUCAUGAAACCCCCUUCAGGUCCCAUUCCUUUUAAAGGAUUUCCUGAUGCUGGUGUCAAGCUUUCCAGUCGUGGUGUCUGUGAUUCUGCUAGCCCACCUUCUUCUAAUCCCAUUCUCAGGCUGAUGGGAAAGAAUUUAAUGGUGGUUAACAAAGAGGAAGACGCAUCUGUGUCACUUGGUCAGGCCCAGUCAUGUGCCCAGAGUAAUCGUCUAACUCCUAACUUUCCAACUUCUUCUGGAAUCUCUCCUAGCAAUAUCCGGAAUCAAGGUGGCCAGCCCGUCCAUCACACAACGUCUCAGGGUUUUUUAUUCUUUGAUCAGAAUCCAAAUUAUUUGGUGGGGCAAUCUUUUGAUGUCCGAUUGACAAACGGCUAUAGAAGCCGUGCAAAUCUUGCAAAACCAGAAACACCUGUGCAAUUUCCAGCCGGCAUGUUUUUCAAUGGGCAUAUGGACUGUGGUUUCACAACCUCCAUGGAGCUGUACAAGUGUGAAGAUAACUAUAAUUUGCCAACUCGGCCGAACAGACCUAAGAACAAAGUAGGUUCAGCAGCAACAUAUGAUAUGGAGAAAGUUGCAAGCCUAGACUGCGGACAUAGGAAUAUUGGGGAUUCUGCCGUUUCCAGUAAAGAAAUCAUUGUCAUUGAUGAUGCUCCUGAAAGUGAAACAAAUAAGACUGCCGAUGUUGCCGAACACUCUGCGGGCUUGAGGGAAUGCCCACUAAUAUUAUCUGGUAUUUCAAUGCCAUUAGUUCCUAAUCAUAGUGUACGGCACAGGAAUCCUUUUCAUUGUUAUCAGUCAGAUGGCACUUUUCUAGGUGACCCAACUAUCCUACAAGAUAACAACUUUAAUGCAAUCCCUUCCGGACGAGCCAAUGCUAGUCCUGUUAGGCGGGAUUGCUCUUCGGAAGGUUCUGGUCAUGUGCUGCAGCAGGCUCCUCUUAUGGCUGCAUCGCCCUCAACAGGCUAUCUGAGAUCUGCACUUUACUAUUCUUCAAGUUUCUCUUAGCAGCUUUGCUUGGGAUGGGAAUUGUUAGAAGGUCUGUGCUGUGCAUCAGCAGGUUUCAUGUCAAACUUGUACUGAAUCUUGAGCUUCUUGAUGACUAAUGACAGACAGAAACUUUUGGGCUUCAAAAAUGAUUUUCAACAACUAAAUAUUGGCAGUUUGAUCUAAUAGAUUCAAAGCAAGUUCAGCGAUUGAGAUCUCAGAGUUUGUAUUUAUUUUUUAUUCAUUUACUGUUGGGUAAACUUUUUGCGGUUUUUGAGGCUUCUGCUUAGACAAUUAGAAAGUUAUCACAAAGACUAGAUAAUGUAUAAGCAAUCCUUGAAUAAAAACUGAUUACCGACCUUGGCUUCAAGCCAAAUGGAGUUAAAAGUGCUCCUAUAGAAAUAUUUAUCUUGUUUUUCUAAUUUUAUUUUUUUCUUUGGAGUUGUUUUCACGUUUUCAAAUGACUUAGCUUGUGAAUCAAGGCAAUGAUUUUGUCAAUCUGACCAAUGAAUGGUGUACUGUGGACAUUAUGAUCAGUGAUCAGUUUCAAUGUCUAUUUGUCGUAACCUGUGCAGCUUUAGGAAUUCAAAUAGGAGUACUGUAGAAUGAUGAACUUUCAAAAUCGUUUAUCAGCAGAUGAACUCAAGAUCGUUGAAAUCGGCACACACAUAUAUAUAUAUAUAUAUAUAUAUUGGCUCUGCAAUGAUAUAAAUAGGACGUGUAGAUAUAGAUGUGAACAGUCUGUGAGUGUGUGGCAACCUGUGGUGCAUGAUGAAGAUAUAUUGUAAUAGAGAAGAGCUUUGAGUUCAUCUUUUUCACGGCUGAGCCAUUGACAACUCAGUGUGAGAAUCCUGCAUCCAUGGCAGCAUAUUAGCAUGCUCGUGUGACACUAUAGAUGCUAGUUUAUUCAGUGAGGAAAAUGUCGGUGUAGGUGAGAACUUCAAAGGUGAGAACUUCAAAGUUGCAGCUGGAUGCUAAUUAGUACACAUAGAUAGAUGGAUGAGUAUUACAUAAAAUACAAAAUCUAUCGGGCAAAGGAUUAAAAUUUAGGCCCCAUUUGUUUUUGAAGGCAGCGUUAGUACAAUGAAAUUGAAAUAUUUUUUUUAUUCAACUGCACCGGUAUAAUCCAUUUGGAUAACUUACGGUGCAGUGAUUAACUAUACUGAUGCAAUAAUUUUGCGUGGGAGAAAAAAAAAAUUCCAGUGAGUAACUACAUUGGACUUUUUUGCCAUAAUACUAUAUUUUUAGUUUUUAAUUUCUUUUUAUUAUCAUCUUUUAAAAAAUAAUUAUAAAAUAUUAUUAUAUAAAUAAAUACAAAAAAUUAAUUAAAUAUUACUUUAUUAAGUUUUCAUUUAUGUAAAUAUAUUAUUAUAAAAAAUUUUAAUAAAAUUAUUAUUUGACAUAAAAAUAAUUUUAUUAUUUUUUAAAUUAUUUGUUAACUUAACAAAUGACAAAUAAUUUAAAAUUUUUAUUGUACAUAAAUUGUAUUUAAUUUCUUAAUAAUAUUUUUUUUCAUUAUAAUGUAUUUUUUUUAUUAUCAUUAUGUAUUCAUCCAUACAAAUAUUUUUAUAUUAAUUUUAUCACUAUAAAAACUAAUUUUAUCAUCAUCAUUAUUAUUUUUAAUUUGUCAUCUGUCUAAAUAGACCUUAAUUAGUAGUGAUUGACAUGCAUAAAAGAGAAGGGAAGGAGCUAGAUAGAUACUAAUUCGAAGUGUUGAUGGUUUUUUGGUGAGGAUGAUUAGUGCUUUGUCCGAAGUUCGUUGGAGAUCGACUGCAAGACGAAGAAUGGUCAAAACAUUGAAGAUAAAAUUUUGAGAUCAAUCAUUUAACAAGAGAUGAGAGAUAAAAGAAAUGAAACAUUGAAUAGGAUGUACCUGUGCUCCACCCUUACCUUUUAUAAUGAUGCUUGAGUAAGCGGGUAGUGGACCACGUAUUCAGUUUUGAGAAUCAGAUGACUGAGAUACGCUGAUGGAAACUAUCCUAACUUUGAAGGGUUGACCUUGGUAAUCUUGAAGACUAAACAAAAUGAAAUGUCAUUACUAAACAAGUAAAAACAGAUAUAGAUCAUAUAGGAGCAGUGUGUGUUAAAUGAUGGCUUUGAAUCUAAUUUUGAUGUGGGGCAGGACAUAGGGCUUAGGGGACAAUUAGUGAGUAGAAGAAAUUAGUAACGAAUGAAGUUGCAUAUAGAAAUGUAGUGGGGUCAGUGGGGUGUAGUUUAAUUUUUUGGUCAGCUCAGAUGCUGUUGUUGACUCAAGUCAAGCUCCUCUUAAGUUUUACAUAAUUAAUCACAUUUGGCUGUCGUUGCUAAUUAUAAUGAGAACUGAUAAAAAAUGAUUCAACAGUACAGUACCGGGUGAUCAUUACACCAUGAAAAAUGAAAUAUAGGCGUUAAAGGAGAAGGAACCCCGUCCACUGUGAUUAUAAAAUAAAAAGUUGCAAAUGACCCUUGUGUUGGGCAAUAGUAUCUUUUACUUUUAGUUUAAGAUAGAGGUGGGGAAAAAGAGUGAAGAUAUCGGUCGGUCACUGCACUUUGGGUUGGUUGGUGUAGUUUGCGUUAAUUUCUGCAUGGUGAAAGCCUAGCUUAAAUAUAACUCUUUCACAAAGGAGAAUAUGCCCCCAUUUUCUGAAAGCUGUGGUGUGGGCCAUUCCUUUGUCUUUCUCUCUCAUUAUCACUUUUUAUUUAUUCUGUUUUUCUAUCCACACGAUCUACAUUAAUUUAAAAAAAAAAAAAAAGAAAAAGAAAUGCGUGGCCUUGCCUUUGUUCCUGGUAGUAUUUUUCUCCUUAAGAAAUUGAUUUAAUUUUAUGUUAAUUUUGAUUAGUUAUAUUUUGAUUUUAUUGAUUAUUUAUGUGAUUAUUCAAUAAUUUAAUAAAUAUGAAUGUAUUAUUUGAAUCAUAACAAUAAUUUCUUUUAUACUUAUAAUUUCAUAAAAAAUAAUAUUAGUAAGUAGUAUUAACAAUGGGAGUUAAUUGUCAAUGAGGAGCUACUAAAACUUUGAGUUCUUAGAUUCAAAAUUUAUCAUGCAUGUAUUUAAUUGUUUAGUUAUUUUAUAAUUUAUAAAUUGAUUAUUCAGUUAUUAUAAUUUAAUUGUGAUACAAUAGUUAAUUAUAUAAAUUAUUAUUAUUGUAACUUAAAAAAUAAUGGGAGCUAACUCAAUAUUAACUUAGACAUCAUACAUGUUGAUUAAACUCUUAAAAAUUAUAGAUUCAAUAAGAUUUAGGUACAUAAUGUCUUUUCAUAUGAGUUAAAUAAAUAGAGAUCAAAAUUCUAAGAGUAAAUUAAAAUUUUCAAAAAAAAAAAAAAAUACUAACAGUUAUUGCUACUUGAUUCAUGGAUUAUUUAUGUAAUUAAUAAUAGCAUUUUGUUUCACAUUACAAUUAUAUUAUUAUUAAUACAUUAAUGGAAUAAUAAAGAAAAUUUGUUUAAUUAUAUUUAUUUAAAAUUUUUAACUAAAAUGCUACUAAUAUUAAUACUAUUAUAUUUAUUUAUGUAAAAUUGUUUAAUAGUGUAAUUGUAAUAGGAAACAAAACGCUAUUAGUGUUGUUUUCUUUUUAUUUUGGAUAAUAUUUUCUAGAUUUAUUUAUUCUUAAUUUUUAAUUUUUAUUUACUUAUUUAAAGAAAACAUUACAUAUCGUCUAAACUUUUUAAAAUCUGCAAUUUUAAAAAAUCCUACCAACAUCCAUAUUAUUUAAGAUAAUACUUAAUUAAUAUGUUUUGAAGAAUAUAAUAUAGCUAAUAAUAUUAUAUGUAUAUAUAUAUAUAUAUAAAUUUAUAUAAUAGUCUAAGAGAAACAACUUUGGUUUAAACUGUCGUUUCAUUUUUUACAUCACAAAUGUAUGAGAUUGGAUUUUAAACACAAAAACCAAACAAACCGUCCAACAUUUUUGUUUUUUUGAACGGUUGUCGUUGUCUGUCUUGUCGUGUCGUACCGUUGGUAGCGGGUGGUCAAAACUCAGAAAAACGAGAUGCAGAACCACCAAUCAACAGCCGCCACGUACACCACCAUCCCCAUCUCAGCUUCUGACGUCAUCUCUCGCUCCAUUCACAAUCUAACAGCCACCCUCUUCCGUCACCUGCGUCCCUGGCCUCAACUCUUGGGCUCCGGCUCCGGAUCCUUCUCCCGACCCCACUCUCACACCUUUGUCUCCCGUGCCCCGGCCAACCUCCGUUAUUUCCGCGCCAACUACUCCAUCGUGGUAGCCGCCACCUCCGCCCUCUCCCUCAUAGGUUCCCCGCUCUCCCUCCUCCUCUUCUGCGGCCUCUUCACUCUUUGGCUCCUCCUCUACUUCUUCAGAGAGGACCCACUCGUCCUGUGUGGUCAUUGUGUCAGCGAUCGCCUCGUGCUCUUCUCUUUGGCUUUCCUUUCGGUGUCGGCUGUCUGGGUUUGCGGCGUCCUCCCAAAUUUGGCCUUAGGGUUUGGGAUUGGGGUCCUCGUGUGCGGGGUCCACGCCCUUCUUAGGAACUCCGAUGGUCUCUUUCUCGAUGAGAACGACGCCGUUUCUACUGGAUUGGUCCACUCAGUUGCUGCUGCAGGGACUACAACUACAUGUGCUGCCCCUUCUCCGAAUUAAUUAGAAGGAUUUCUUUUCUUUUCUUUUUUGUUUUUGAAGAUGUUGAAUUUCAAUUGCAUUCUGAAUUUCUGAUGGACAGGUUUGGUUUGGUUUGGUUUGAUUCGUACUUUGCAUAGACUGUGGAGUGUGGAGUGAGGUUGUCUGUCCGUACUUGGUAUUUAGUUGGAUUGUAGAUCGUCAAUGAUGAACUUGCUUGCAUUGAAAUUGAAAUGCGUGUGAUUCUUUUCAAGGUUGUUCUUCCUUGCUAUUGUUGUUUGUUUAUUGCUUGCUUUUCUUGCAUCAGAAACCAGUGUCCAACUCUUAAUUUCGCUAAAAACUGAAAUGAAAUUAACGUUUCUUUCAUGUUGUUCCCAUUUUCUAUGUUGAGCUUUAGUCCUUGGAUUUGAAAAUGGGACUGCCACGCUAUUUUCUUCAUAUUCAAUCUAAUGCUGGCUGUUUAACAAUACUCAAAUUAAUGGUUAAUGAAGGCAUUGGAAAAUUGAUCUGCGAACGGAAAAUUAUUCUGUUUUAAAAUGCCAAUGGGUUAUCGACGUUAUCCAAAACUUGUGGGUGGAACCGAAUGUGAAUGACUUGCUUUGCUCAUCACAAUGCUUACAUGUUAGAGGCAUUACUCUCCUCGAAAUUCAGACACUCCACCAAACGUGAGUUACAUAACUAUCCCGGCCCGUCCAUGUUAGCAAAAACCCAUGGAAUUUCUUUUGUGAAAACUUAGAUACAUUUAAAAAAUAAAAAAUAUGACAUGGCAUUGAUGUGGCAUAAGACACUCCACUAAAAGAAAUAAGUUUAAAACCGUGUCAGAAAAAUCUCGGUAGUGGUUGGUGUAGGAGUUUGUUUUCCCAACAUAAAGAUCAUAUUAGCGUAAUUCAACAAAGCAGUGACAUUUCCUAUCUAUUCCAAGUGAAGAAUGGAAAAUAAAUACAGAUUUAUCACCGUAUUUUACAUUGUGAACAAAACUUAACUUCUAUUGAGAAUAAGCUCCAUCAUAUCUUGCUCCUCAUUCUCACCAACUUUGCAAGUGUUUCUUGAGCUGCCAAGGUUAGUGCAUGAUUGUGCCCCAGCAUCACUGUCCGAAUACUGAUACAAGUUCUGCAGAGCUCUUCACCGCUGUCAAAAUGCCCACCUCUUAACAUCAGCUUUGCUCUCGUUUCCAACAGGGUAGCCUUCAACAAUGUCACAUCUUGCCACACGUACUCGUCCAACCUUUGAUUACCUUGUAACUUGUUUUUCCAACAAAGCGACCCAUGACACCAGUCUUGUGUUUGAGAUACAAAAGACUUUUCUACUUCCUCCAACACAUUUGUGCACACCUUCAAUAACUCCAAUGCAGAGUUGCAUCUUGAGAAUGUUGUGAAGGAUCUAAUUGCUAAUGGCAGUGCCGUCUUUUUUAUAUACAAAACCAUAUCAAUUGCUUUUAAUUGCACAAUAGGAGGCUCGGACUUAAAUCCAAAUACAAUAAAUGCAGAAGCCCAUAGAUGAUCAGAAUUCAGCAAUGGGUUCCCAAUUUUUCUUAUGCCUUGGACUGUGGCUUUAGCAGCGGAUAAACACUCUUUCCUCUUUGCAAACUCUUGAGUUAUAGGAUGGAACUGAAUCCAACAUCCAGUCUGUCGAUUAACUCUUCUUGCCAAUCCUAGCUUUACUAGGAGAAUAGCGGAAUCUUCCUCAAUUUGAGUAGCUAAACCGCAUCCACCACACAAGCCGAACGUGAGACUUCGGAACUUAAUCCACCUUCUGAAUCGGUUUCCAUCAACAGGCAUAUACUUAGCCGCAGUAGUUAGCAAAUUUGCAGAAAUGGGUGAUGGGGCAAACCAAGCACCAACAAGAAGCAUUCCAGAGGCGAGAAUGUUCCUUCUCCCAUUAACUUUCUGCAAUACAGCAAAGCAAAAGCAUAGAAUUUUCAUCAGGAAUGGAUUGUUUUUGCAGUAUUGCUUACCAUUAGUCCUCACAUAUGAUGAAGUAGAACCAUCUUCAAGCGAGACCUCGUUCACAGCUUCAAAGAGUGCAGAUGGAGAAAUGGCAAGUUCGGAAAGCAGUGAACCAAUAAUCCACAAACCAAAGCUCAGUCUUUCCAAUUUCUCAUCAAAUUUUCUCAAGGACUCCAACUCCUCAGCCGGAUAGACUUUUUUCCUUCUUCCUCUUACUAAAAUCAUUGCAUCAGAGAAAGGCAAUGGAGGAAGCUGGAUUGUGUCAAAAUUCAUAACCUUUGAUAGCCUAGUAGUGAUAAUCACAUGAGUCCCACCGGUGUUCCUGGGAAUUAAGUCAUGCAGGUCUUUUCCUUCCCACCACUCUCGCUCUGUCUCAAGAUUAUCGAUGAUCAAAAGAUAAGGCAUGUCACGAAAGACAUCUCUCUUCACUCGCUUGAAUGCUUCAAAUUCCUGCUCCUCAAAGCUUCGAAUGUGGCCCCUUUCCUUCUCAUCUUCAGCACUCACAUCCAAUCCCAAAUCGAGUGAUAAGUUCAAUAUAUUCUGCCGGAGAUAUCGGGCUUCUCCACCAACCCAAAGAACCAUCUUAUAUCUCUGAGAAUACCUAUAAGCAAAUUCAAGAGCCAGCUCUGUCUUUCCAAUGCCUGGAACCCCAUUAAUGCAAAUCACACUGCAGCGUAAGCUCUUGUAGUUCCCACUUUUUGAUUUCUUGUAUUUGGACCUUUUCAUUGAAUUUCUUCCCGUGACUGGCUCAAUCCAUGUCUCUAGAGUAGGCUCUUUGCACUUAUCUAAUCCCAGAUUAAUAUACCUCCCUCUAGUGGAAACAUUACCACUUUCUUCAUCCGCAAGCCCUUCGGAUUGCCCGCUUGCUUCACUUUUUAUAAUAGGCAUAGAGCAACAAUCUUGCUCAAGAGAAUCAGCAUGUCCAAAUAAGGAAGUUUCAAUCUCCAUAAUCUCCUUCUGUCUUCCCACAAAAAACCUGUUUCUCGGGAAGGGCAGCUCCUCAAAUCCUUCACCAACAAAGUCUUUCUCUGCCACACUAUUCCUUCCAAGCUUUGCUCGCAAUAUUCCUGCAGCUUUGGCUACGCAGCUUCUCCAAUUACCCUGAUUAGCUUCCAGCUUGAACUCAUGACACUUGAUUAGGCCGUCAAUUGCUUCUUUGCAUUCUUUAUCAACUGAAUUGCAGUUGAGAAGUCCCAUGAUCUCAGCAGGUCCCGUGUCAAAGAAGAGUGGAAUCAAGUUUUUCUUUUGAUAAAAGAAUCUAAUUUCCUCCAAGCUGAGAUGAUUGAGAAAGCUAGAAUUAGUGACCACCACAACUCCAUAUGUGGCUGAGCAGAUUACUCGGUCAGCAAUCUCAUGGCUCUGACCAUCUGAAUACUUGGCUCUAUCUGAAACAAAGCAAGCAAUACCCUGAAGCUCCAGCUCUGACUUAAGCCACUUACAGAAGCGAGCCAAGUUAGGAUUUUGACCGUGGAAGCCAAUGAAAACGUCACAGCUCCUGAGUUUGGCAUUAGAAGCAGGAGAAACAGGAGCUUUUGCGAAGGAAAUUCGAGGCACUGGAAAUGAGAAUGAGAUGCGUGGAGCAGGAUCUGGAACUGGAACACAAGUUACAAAUUUGAGCUUCGGAUCUGCAGGGUCGUCAGAGUAUUCAUACUGUUCUGAUGGUGGAGUGUAUGAACUACUUGGUAUAUCAUCGGAUUGUGAACCCCCUCUGUACGAGACUGGUGUUGAUGGAUGAGUAACAAGAGUAGAGUUAUCUUGCGGGGUUGAGUUCUCUUGGGGUUUCGGGAUUGUGGCUCUUGGUGAUAUAUAUGGUGACUGCAAAGCUGAAACAAAUGCUGACGAUGGUGGGGACACCAAGGAGGGAGAGUUGUAUGGAGAUGACUCAAUUGAGGUUUUUAAGCUUGGAGGAUGCAAAUCCGUGGGGAUCAAAGUUAAAGCAUCUUUACCAGUUUUGCUACAGCAAGAUGAAGUCUUGAUGGUGAGGCUGCUGGGAUGGUUUUCUUGAGAAAGUUUGCCGCUACCUGAUACUGAUGCUUCUUCUUCACCCAUAGCCAUGAAGGUUUUGAUGUCUGUGGCAGUGCAGUAGAUCUCACUUCUUCCAAGUUCUAAGAAAGCUAAGCUCUAGUGCUGUACAAUGUUCUUCUCUAUAGUCUACAGUCUACAUCGUAAUGGUACUUUUCUCUGGUUGUACUUUGAAAGUUAUUAUCAGUCCGGUAGCAGAUAUAAUCCCUUGCAUUAUGUGCGUCACCAUAGAACCUGAGCGCUUCCUGGAUUCUCUUGCAUCAAUUUUCUCUGACAGAUAUAAUUGAGUCAUUGAGUGAAUGGCUCUGACCAAAGUCUAUGGCAGAAGAUGAAUGCUACAGUGAUGCCUUCACACAGGAGAGAUCUGCACUGCAUGUGAUUUAUCUCACUUCAUAUUUGUGGGCCUCGCUUCAGUCAGAGCUACUCCAGUUUUCUUGUGCCUAUGGUGGAGUUGGUUUGACCGGAAGUAUUAACAAAGAGGAGAACAGUCCAUUAAACAUCAUAAACUGUUACAGCAUUUUAGUUAUCAUUUGAUUGGGACGGGAAUCAUUCAGGCUUUGCUCUGAAAAACUGAAACAGUAAAUGGAUGAUACUGAUUAACGCUUAAUUAAAACAACACAUGAGCAAUGCUUCAAAUCUUUCUUUAGACCUAAUAUAACAAGUGUGUAAACCAGUGCUUAGUUUCAUUUCAUAUAUAUAUAUAUAUAUAUAUAUAUAUAUAUAUAUAAUAUCCAUUCCAGAAAACUGAUGCAACAGAAUAGAAGUUUACUUACCUCAGCUUUGCUUUACUUUGAGGCAAUGGAAAGAAGAGAAACCCUUCGCUGCAAAUCCUGAAUGGCCAUGUCUAUCUUCUCUCUCAAAAGCAAGCUGGAGAGAAGGGGGGAAUCUAAUGUUGGGCAGGAUCUGUGAGGUUCGGAACAUAUAAUAUUAGAUAAAUGCUUAAAAAGAAGCUGCAGAGGGCUAAUGGUAUAGUUAUUUAUUUGAUUAAUUUAAUAGAUUGUGUUGGGCUUAGGCCAUUUAUUUUUGUUUUUUGUGUUGUACUAUUUAAUCUUUCGAUUCUAAAUCUAACACGGGGUUCUCACUUGUCACAGAAGCCAAAGAUUGGUCAGAGAAAAGGGCAUUGGAAGGGGAACCAUUAUUCAGAGCUUGUUGGCAGGGGUUGUAUGAUCAAGGGUUCAACAGCAUUAAAAUAAAGCAAUCAAGUUAGUAUUGUCUAUUAAUUAUUUUAUAUUAAAAAUUUACAAGAAUGCAUUUAUUUAAUUAAUAUUACUACUAUUAUAUUAUUGUUUAUCCAAUCCAGGUCUUAAUAUGAAUGUGUGCCCAUCUGACACAGUUUGAAUCUAUUUGCACCGGAAUUGGACCAAAGACCAGUCCAACUGAGAACCGAGCACCCACUGCUGUAUUAUUGACUCCUUCCUGGACAUUGAGAAAAUAGAUUGAAACCUUUUAUUUAUUUAUUUUAUUUUAACUAGUAGGGAAGGAGUGGUACCUUUUGGACCUCAUGAGUAAAACAGCACCUACUAUUCCAGUAUACCUGUCCUAUAUAUUUGGCAGCUGAAAUCACAGUGUUCACUGCUCAUCCAGGAUUGCAUUCGACAAUGUGGAAAAAGAAUUCUGGCACAUGAAUCUUUGUCAAAGCCAGUGGAUUAUGGACCUAAGCAUAUGAUUUACAAUUUCUCAUCUCAGAUAUAAUACCUUUUUUUUUCCUUUUCUGUAAAUGUAAACGAAUUAAAUAAAUUAAAAAUGUAAAGUAGUUGUAGAAAAGAACAAGAAAAUUGCAUAUAGAUAAGAUAUGUAAUUCAAGCUGAUAGGAUUUCUUACAAACUAAACUUUCCCAUGUUGAAUUUCAAAUUCGACCAAGGUGAUUAAGAAGUUAUAUAUGCAUGCAUGCAUGCGGAUUCUGGGGUUAGGGUUAGGGAGUUUAUGAUCGACUAAAGACUUUUUCUCAUUUUCAUCUUUUUGGUUUCUCUGUUAUGAUUUAUGAAUGUGUUUCAACUUAAGUCAUUGCCUCAGUGGUAGAAAUUUAAUUCACACACAAGCAAGCAUGUUGAGGCCUAAACCCAUAAGGGGAAAAAUUAACAUAAAAUAGAAGAAUGUGAUUCAAUCAAAUAUAUAAUCAUUACAAGCAUUAUUUCAUACAGUAUUCUAGGCCAAAAAAGUAAACAAAUAUCCCAUGUGCCUUUACGUAGAAAGCUUCUAUAUUUUUACUAUUAUGGAGGGCCAACUAAGGCCAUUGAUACCAGGGUGCUUGCCCUCUAUAAUCCUAAAGCUUCAUCUCUUUCUUCCUUAAAAGUUUUCUUAGACUCUCUUUUUUCAGAAAUUAAAAACUAUAAGCUCCUCUGCCUGUAAUCAUAGAGUUAUAUAAAAAUUAUUUGAAGUUAAUGACUCUACAAUUCGCAAAAGCUAGCUCUUUAUUUAAAUAAAGCCUAUAUGUGUUCUGCUCUCUAAAAUAUGUAUCCCCAUUAUAUAUGCCAGAGUCUAAUGCUCUUUCAUUUUGAAAGUGAGAAGCUGUCUCAGCAUGGAUGGAAGCUGACUACAUUAUGACCACCUUUUUCAUUUGUACUCAUUGUUGGAGCUUUAUCUGAAUCCAUCUCUUUAAAUAUAUAUAUAUAUAUAUAUAUAUAUGGAAAUGGAAUCUCCAUCAUAAUGAAACAUGAUUGGCUGCAAAAAAGAAUCCAGCUCCCAAUUAACCGGUAUUUUCUUAUGGAGCUAGAAAAUUUUAGGUUUAGACAGAAUUUGGUUUCCUUAAAUUUAGACACAAUCUCUUCACCUUCUCGAGCUCUUUUUUUCUUUUUUUUUUCUUUUUCUUAAUGGUUGUAAAAGCUAUGCAGAAAAUCCUGUCCUCCAUAAUUAAUGUAUUCCUUUUGUAUAGUAUAUAUACAAGAACAUUAGAUAAGAAUAAUCCUAUGUCUUACAAAUAACUCUUAUGCUAAGUAAUCAAAAUUUAAAUUACAUAUAUAGUUAUUAUCUACUCGAUUUAUUAACAGAUAACCCUUCAUUCAAAUUUCAAAUGGUCUGUGGCUUUGUCCCUAAUACGGCCCCGCAAGAUAGAGCCACGAUUGGAGAUUCCUAUCUUGGACAAUAACAGCUGAAAUCUUGACUUGGACACUGACUUUGUUAGUAUAUCAGCAAGAUGUUCAUGAGCAGAGAUGUGCUACACUUGAAGUAGAUCCUUUGAAACUUUGUCCCGUACUAAAUGAAGAAAGUCAAUGGAUAGCAUGUGUUUCAUCUUAGAAUGUAGGCAUGGAUUUGCAGAGACAUAGGUUGCACUCAUGUUGUCGCAACAUAUAUAUAUGAGUGGUGGUUUUGACAACUCCACUUGUAAGACAUCUUAUUUAUAGAUUGUAAACCUAUUUAUCUUUUAUUUUUUUAAGAUAAAAAUUAGGUGGUAAGAGAUAAGAAUGAUAUGUGCUUGUAUUUUAAAUUAAAAAGAAAACUAAUUUGUGCAUAAAUUUAAUUGUAUAAUUAUAUUUGAGUUUAUUAAUUAAUUAACAGUGGUGUAGCUAGCAUACACUGUAGGAGAGUAGGGAGGGCUAUUAUCUGCAUUAUAAUAAAUGAUUUAGUGCAUUAACUAUUAAAAGAAUGAAAGACAAAAGAGCGAAUAAAAGCACUAAUAAUUAUUAAGAUGUUCCAAAGGCUAGCUGAGUAUGUUUCUGCAUUGCACAGUGUUGCUGAGUGUAACAUCGAUCGGCAUCAUAUUCAUUGUAUAUAUUUAUAUAUUGAUAGAUAGACAGAUAGAUAGAUACCGGUGAUUAGUAAUAUUCUGACACUGCAUGCAUGCGGAUGCCGAUUUCAUGUUCUCAACGGGAUAAGCCUGCUUCUUAUGUUGUUCAUUAUAUAUAAUAAUCCCCCUGAAAAUGACACAAAAUGGCCACUGUUAAAUCUUCCUCUCAAAUUGUUAAAAUCAAGAAAAAAAAAAAAUAAAGACCUACAUAUUAUAUAAUCUACUACUUUUUUUUAUUAUUAAAGUUAUAUAAUUUUAUCAAUUAAUUUGUAAAUAAACUUACAAUUAUUUGAAAUAAAUUGUGAUUUUUUUUUUUUGCAAUAUUGUAAAAUUUUUUUCAAAAUAUGAUUUUUUUUUUCGCAACUGAAUUUCAGGUUUUAUUGAAAUUUCAGAAAAUUAAAUAAAUAUUUUUUAUUAGAUCAAAAUGAUAUUAAUUAAAUGGAUUUUGUUUAAAACCAUAAGAAUAACUUUUUCAAAAUUUAUCAGAUAUAUAACUUACCAGGUACUCAUAUUCAGUAAGUUAUAAAAUUUAUCAAUUAUGUAUACAAAUGAAAAAUUUUACGUAAUUUUAUUUAAAAAAAAAAAAAAAGAUGUAAAGAAAGAAAAAUGGAUGCAAAUAAAAGCACCCCAUCCAAAAUCCAAAUCAGAUUAGACGGCCAGCAAUGCCCAGUUGGGUUGUUUUUAUUAUGGGCCCACACACCAUGUGGCCCAUUUAUUUUCAUAUCUUUUUUUUUUUUUGGCCAAAAAUUACUUUUUACUAAGUUAUUGUUUUUUGGAGGAUUAAUUAACGGUGGAGCAAAACUAACAAAUUGUUUUUUAAUCAUUAAUGUAAAUAAAUUCAAUAAAAGGAUCGUGUGAAAAAAAGAACUCUUUCUUUAAAUUUAUUGAAAUUAAUAAUUAAAAAAAUAAAAAUAUUUAAUGUAAGUUUGAUCUCCUUCCAUUAUAUAUAUUUUUUAAUUUAUUUAAUAUACUUAGUAGUACUUACCAUGAUCAAAUGUUCCUUACUUUUCAUUACACUAAUUUUAAAUUAUCAAAAAGUUAAUUUACUAAAAUACCAUAGUUUCUCUCCCAAUAAUUUCAUGGCCUCCUAUAUAACUGCGAAUCUAACCACGAUUAAGGGUUUCCCAUUUCCUUCAAAUCAUCUUCAAUUUCCCUCUAUGAGAAGAUAAAAGGUACGAUUUUUAAUCACAUAUGUAUUACAUCCUAAAUUUCACUUUUUCUCUAUUUCCGAAUUAAUUUUUUUUAUUUGAAUUCAAUCUUUGUUGAGCUUUCAUGACAUAUAAGUUCUAUAUACAAAAGUCAAGCUCAAUUGUUCCUUUUGAGUUCCUUCUUUUGUAUUCAAAAUUGAUGACAAUAGAGAAUCCAAUGAUGGGUAUAAUUAAAAUUUAUUCAUUUAAUUGAAUUUUGAUGCCAGAUUAUUGAAGAGAAUAGUUGGGUUGAUUUUUCUUUUACAGAUUUUGGUUGAUUUGGACCUGAUUUUGCGGGAAUGAUAGUUAUUGUUCUUGAUCUUCAUCUGAAUAAAUCUUGAGCGAAACCCAUAUUAAUAGUUAUGGAUUUGGAAAGUGAAUGUUCUGCGCUUGAAUUUGUGGAGGAUAAUGAAGCCAUUCAACACGCUAUAUCUCAUUUUGAUGUCAAAGAUAAUCACGUUGAUGAUUUCAAGAGCAAGGAUAAUGGGUCGUGCGCAAAUGAUAAUCAGACUCAGAGAUUGGCCACUGAUCAUAGUGUCGAUUCCGAUGCUUUGACAGCUAAUAAUCAUCUAAAUGGUGCUGCUCAAAUUGUGCAGCCAAUGCAUGCACCUCAUCUAGCAGCUAAAUCUCCUGUUGGGGCAUCUCCCCCUACCACCAAAGGAUAUGGGUUGAAGAAAUGGAGGCGUAUCAAGAGAGACUUUGUUAAGGAUCCAACCGCCACUGGUGAUAUCAGUAAAAUGUUGAAGCGAGGUUUGUCUGGUUCUGCAAAUCCAACUAAACCUCUACAUAUGGCAUCACCCGAAAUCAAGCAGAAUAGUGUGGCUUCUGUUGGACCAGUGAAUAUGUUGAAGAGCACAAGUGUUGCUCAUGGGCUCAUGAUGCGUAGCCCCAGUUCUGAUUCCAGGUUUGCAGUCGGGGCUGCUUUUGCUUUUGCUACAGAUUCUGAAAAUAGCGAGGAUCGGAGUAGCAAGUCAUCUACAGCAGCCAGUAUGCCAAAGACGAGGUAUGACCUGCCUGCAGUUUUGGGGUACGUACACGAGAAAAACCAGAUGAAGAAUUUAAGUGGGAAGAGUGUGGGUAAUUCAAGUCAAAGAGUUCAGCAGGGAAAGGGUAGUGUUGAAAGCAAUAAGAAGGCCAGAGGAGAAAGGAUCAAAAUUGAGAAGGAAAACUCUCAUUCCAGCAUGGAAUCUGACUCAAGAAGCUCUAACUUUGUCUUUACGCAGGGUUUGUUUUCAGUGACAAGUAACGGAAAGCAAACUGGAAACUCCUUGAAUUAUGAUGGGGAAAAUAGUGAUGAAGCUCGUGAAGGCGAGCAUCAGAUCAGUGAGGAAGUUCAAACUGCUUAUAGGAAAGAAAAUUUAGGUGAAAUUGAAGAGCUUUCACCGGAUGAUUUAGCUGCAGAUUUAUCUUGGGAGGAUAAGGAAGAAAAAGGUGAGAAUCACCAGCCUUCACCAGAUCAAGACGCAUUGAUCCAGUCUAUUCUUGCCCUCCAAUCUGUUCAGGAAGCCCUUGAAAAUGGUGGGUGUGAUAUCCUUCUGAUAUCUUUGAUAAACCUUUCUCAUGGUUUGAUUAUAUGUUCUAACUACUCUUGGGUACUGUAUUAUAUGUCCUGCAAAUCCAGCUUGGUGACCUCUUAAUUUAUUCAUAUUUUAGUUAGCUUAUUUAUUUGACAAUCUCAGAAAUAUUUCUGUAAGUAUUUACUUCAAGCAGUUGAUAACUAUGCCCUCCUUUGUUUGAGGGUUGGGACAAAGAUUAUAAAUAGUUGUUGUUCAUAAAGCCUCGUUGUGGCUAACUUUGAAAAUUUCUAUACCAAUCUCUGUGCAUGUUCCACGUUGAACUGGCUUUUCAGUUAGCCUUAGAUAAGUCUAGAACAAGCAUCUUGAUGGGCAAGUAGGGCUGUAGUCAACAUAGGCUGUAAAAAGCUAAUGCAAAUAGCAGAAGGGAACUUCGGCUUAUAUUUUGUUAAGUUAGGAAUCAUGUACUACUAAUAAUUAACUAUUGAUAGUAAUGGUAAGUAUCUGGUGGAGUAAUGACAUCAUCAGGAGUAAGAUCAACCUAAAAAGGAACGUUUGGCAACAAAUCAUCAUCAGAAAAGCAGUAACUAAAUUCAGUUCAUAGGAGAAUCACACCAAUGUUUUUUGCUGGUGUUUGGUCAAUGUUAACUUAGGGUUGUGAGAAGAGAAGGCACACGGAAAAUGAGUUGUGGGAAGUGAGAGAGGAAUGGUAGUGACAUUUAUUUGGGUGUUCUCUAAUGCAUAAUGGAUAUCUGAUGGUGAAAGUUCAAUCAUAUGGAGGAGUCUAGGACUACAUCAUACAUGUUUUCAUCCUUGGAGAAGUUAAAUGUUGAUCAUCCAUUUUACUUAGUAUUGAUCAUUUCAUGCUAGCAUAAUUGCUGAUUAUGUCCUGCAUUUUUGUUAAGUUUAAUAGAGCAAUUUUUCUUUGCAGAAGUACAGAAAUUAGGGGAGAUAGGAAAGGAACCUCUACAUGAUGAUUCAAUUAACAUUAAUAGUGUUCAUAUGGAUUCUACUUUUGCUGAUGAGGAAAUCCAUGAAACUAGCUCAUCUGGUCAAUUAGAUUCUGAAAAGAUAAGAAAAAGUACUUUAGGUUCCUUGGAAACUCAGGUAUUCACCUUAACACAGAAAGUAAAAUAUUUGGAGAGCAAACUGGAGGAAGCAAGGGCUCUUCUGCAGGCGAAGGAAUCAAGGAUUUUUGAAUUGGAAACCAGUGUAAACAGUAGCAGGUUGCGGAAGGAAGAAUCCAGAAGCACUGCAGAGUUGCAACAAGAUAAAUAUAGAGAAAUGGAAUUUGAUCUUGAAGGCCUCUUUCAACAAAAAAUGGAGGCUGAAAUUGAGUUUCUAGCUCUAACAAGGGCAGUAGAGAAGUUGAGGGUUUCUGCGGGCAAUCAAGUUGCACUAUUUGAAGAACAAACAUCAUUGGCUGGGGAGCAAGCACACAUGUUGAAUAAGCUUGGAGAGGCAGAAAGCAAGGCUGUAAUGCUAAAGAAACAAGCAGAGGAGUUGGAAAAGUAUUGUGGAGACAUCGUAGGUACUGAAGAGGUUUUGAAGAUGCAAAGGAGAGUAUGUAAGGUUACGUCAUGUUUUUGUACACAGUUGGUAUUACUGGUGUUAGUGUUCGUUGUCUUGCAGCUGUCACCACAAUCAGGUGUGGUUGUUCCCACCUGAGUUAAAAGAAAAUAGAACCCCCCUUUUCUUUUUGUGUGUGUGUAUUCUAAUGUUUCUAGGCGAUGAUCCAAAUGUAAGAUUUCGUUGUUAUUAUAAUUAGAGUCUUUUCUUUUCCCUUUCCCUGCUUUUGUUAAUACCGCAACUUGGUUAAAAGUGGAAACCUUUUCAAUCUUGAUUUGAGCUUCUCUCAAUGUUAGUAUUUACCAACAAGGCUGUUUUUCUGUGAAGUAGAAUGCAAUUCUAAACCACACAUUUUAUCACUUUAAUUUGUUGGUUGUUAACUAGAGAAAUUAUGGCCAUGGCGUGCUGCUGGGUAGGCUUUGAGCAAUAAAUGUUGUGCUUGAGAAAGAUUUAUUGCCUUCACCGUGAACCUUCUCAAAACACUAUUAUUUGGAUGGGAAAUAUACCCCGUGUUGAAUAAUGUGACAGUUGAUUUUACAAAAUGAAUCGAAAUUUCUCAAAUUCAUCUUUUUAGGUACUCUUUCAUGUCAAAUGAAAUGAUAAAAGGUCUUUCUUAAAACAACACUAACACCAAUUGCCAAACGUCAUUGAUUAAAACCAACUUUUUUUCUUGCCGACAUAAUGCCUAAAAAAGGUGGUUAUACAAGUAUAAGCUCAUCCAACAUCUCCAUCUGCCAUCCUUUAAUUAAAGGGUGUGCAACGUAGUUGCAGAUUUUCUACCAGACUACAAUUUACUAACUUCACUCUGAUCUUAUAUAGCACAAGAAUAAUGUUCUAGGCUUCUAGAUUCUUAUUUAUUAAUAUAUAUAUAUAUAUAUAUAUAUAUAUAUAACCACAAGUUACAAAGCUCUCCCAUCUGAUCACCAAAAGUUUCAGCAAUGGGGCAGUCAAGCAAAUUGAAGAAACGGGAAAAGUUGAGCAAAAAUAACAACAGACGGAGGGUUGACACCCUGUUAUUCAGUUCCUAACAACCAACUCAUUGGAGGCUAUAGAGUUGUUGAAUCAUGGUAAGAUCGGUAUUCCAACAUUUCAGUUCAACAUCUCUCCUUGUCCUUCGUCCCUCUCUCCUGAUAAACCUGCAUCACAGUCAAGAACAGUCAUUUUUAAGAAAUCUCCAAUAGUCAAAUGAAACAUAGCAGGAUUUAACUGCAGAGACAAAAUAAAAAUAUUUAUACACAUUCUGGAUAAUUGGAGACAAAUGAUAUAACAGUCUACUUCCAUACCACUUUCUCAGUCUCUGUCAGAUUGCUCCGUAGGUGCCCAAUCUUCUCGCUGAUGACUUUCUCUUUCCCAUGCUACAUAGGUUUUAGCCGAACAUAAUGCUCAGCAAAGAAAAAAUUAUAACCACUCCUGUUUGACUUUGGCCUGGAGAGGUCCCAUAAAGCUAAUCGGGAUCUCUUCCGGCGCCAGUGACAAGGAAUAUCUGAAGUAUUUGAACUCUGAGACAAUUGAAGCAUUUGGGGGAUAUGAUACAGUACACCCUUAAAUUGAUCAGAGCCCAACCUAACUGUAAUCAGAUAGCCAUUAUCAAAUUUUCCAUCAAUGCUCCCCGUCACAGAACUACCAAUCUGCAACUCUGGAGUUCCUGCUUGUAUAAGAAUGGUAAGAGCCCUCAUUUAACAAGACAGCUACAUUCACACACUUGCAAAGAUGCAUAUGAAAUAGACAUCUAGGCUUGCCAAAUUUGGUAUAAAUAAUAACUAAAAUUACCCUCUAAAUCCUUUCAAAGCAACCUGAUAUAAUUUUCAAAUGACUUGCCAAAUAUCACAAUUUGUUUUUCUUUCUUGACCGCAAAUGAUCAUUUCAAGGCUAAACAAACAUUCUAGAAGCUCAAGCACUCAGCAACUGACAAUCAAGGUUUUUGUGAAAUCAAUAAUUUUGCUUUUAAGUCCUUUAAGGAAAUUCAAAUUGCAGGUCCCACAAACUAUUUCAGAACAACUAUAUAGGUAUCAGGGAACAUCACUUGUUGAAGAUUUAGAUUCAUAGAAAAGCAACAAUGGCAUGGAUUUUUCAUAAUUUAAGUAUAUCGCUAUUUUUUUUCUUCAGAAAAGAUUGCAUCGAUAGUCAAUAUAUUAGGCUAUUAAAAUAUGAUACAUUUGUUAAAGACAUUGCUAUGCAGGUCUAAUAAGCCUAGUGAUAUCAAGUCAUGCAUGCCUGAUUAGAGAAACCGAUAUCAUUUCUGUGAAUAUUGGAAUGAAAAGCUCCUUCAUAUUAAGGCAAACAAGUGUACGUAAACCACAUAUAAUUGUGAAAUACAACUGGAAGUUAACAUAGCCCACACAGUAAUUGGAGCCCUCAUAUCAAUAGGUAGUUACACAUACCCAGAGCUGUUAAUUGGUUUGUAGAGGCAUCUCCUCUGGUGUCUGCAUAUCCAUUCACAAGGCUCCCACUGGCAGUGUGUGCUAAAAGUACACAAAUUUACAAGCUAUGGAUAUUUCUUCAAAAGACAAAGAUGCUUCUAUCAGAAAGAAAAAAAUGAAUUUAGUUUUCAAAUACCAGGGGUUGAGACCAAAGAGACUUGCUUGCGGAAGUAAUAGACUUGCUCAAAGUGAUAAAGCAAUGAUAAGUAAUAUUUCUUUAAAACAAAUGAAGCAUUUUUAAUGGUUGUUGGAAAUCUGAAGACCACAAUCACUUCCUUCCAUCUGCGAUCUUGUAUUACCUGUAAACCAUUUCAAGGAAAUUAAACAUCCCUUUGGAGGGGUUGUAACAAGCUAACAUAUUGGACCAACUCAAUUUGUCCAUCACUUAUGGCCAUAGAAAUCUUCAGAGAGAAAAAGUUCCAGUCAUGCUAGCAUGCAACCUAAGAUUAUGAUCUCCUGCAAAGAGAGCUGUAGAAGCUAGAGGGAAUUCCAGGUCAUAUCAAGAGAAAGCCAUAUAGGUGUUCCUUUACUUAAACCAAUGACGAAGAGGUCAUCAACAUUGUUACUAACACUAGAUAAUGCAUUAGAUCAAAAAGCUUUAUAUCGCAGGCAGUAUCCUAAUUGCAAGUAUAAUACCUUUUCAAGACCUCCACGUGAUGUGACCUCCACAAAGAGUUGAUGCAGAUCUAGAGCCUUUCCUCCAACAACCAGAACCCUAUCCAACCAAAGCAUCAGGCGAACAUAUAUCCUAAGCAGUGCUUUUCUUUUCCUUAUUCUCUGUUUUGUUAUUUCCCCACCCCCACUUUCUCUUUCUCCAAUAGGUCACCUUUUUAAUACAAAUUUAGAUAGGUAAUAAGUCAAGAGGCACAUUCUUUAAAAGCCUUAAUAAAGAUGCAAAAGGAACCACAUCCUCUCCCCUAAAGAGGUGUGUGCACAAUGUGUGCAUGGUUGUUCAUGCAAACGGGACAGACUAUGAGGGUUGCAGGUUAGUAAAGGUUAUAAAUCCCAUAUCGAGGAAGAGGAUAGAUAUAUCAAGCAAGUAGCAUCAUCCACUGUAGGCAGAUAAAUGAUGCCAUAGUUAAGUGUUUGGAUCUAGAGUAACUGAGAUCGAUAACAUUUGGAAUAAACAAGCAGGAUUUACUGUCCCCGCUUUAAAGAGCAAAUUUUUAAUUGUUCUGUUAAUUUUCUUUUCAAUAAACAAAUUUUCAUGCUUUAAAUGUUGCAAUUACCAGCUACACAGAAAACAACGUUAGUGCUAUAUUCAUCCAAAACUUGACCAAUAGAACAUAGACAAGUCCCCACAUUGAAGCUAAGAAAAUGCAUACCAACAAAUGAACAGGGUCUGAUAAAAAGCAAAAACGUUAAAGGGGCGAAAUUGCAACAAUGAAACUUGAAAUUAAACUGUUAAAGUGGAAGACACUUUUUUGGUACACAAAGAGAUGAGAAAAACUUUUUCAGAAAUGCUAGUCCUGCAGACAGAUGAUGCAAUAAUGAAAGUUGGGAAAUUUUAUGUUUUGUGUUCCAUCCUGUAACAAUCUCGAGAGCAAGGGAGGCCCCCCAAAGUAGAGGAAAUCAAAAUUUUGAAUACAUCAUGCGGCAAAAAGGAAUGAACAUGAAAUUACAGCCAUUUCAAACAUAAAGGAUCAGGAUCUGACAACUCCUACUCUUGCAGAAGCAUAAGGAUUGCAAAGCAGGAAAAAAAAAACGACCCAGAUACAUGCACCCAUGUUAAAGACGAAGUUGGAAAUUGCAAGGAAAGAGAGUUACUUGAAUUUUUUGCCGAUUGAUUUGUUAAAAGCUUUGAGCUUUUCCCACAAAAGGUCAGAACUUUGAGCGACAUCCUUGUACUUGGCAGAUGGUGAGGGAUAGCGAGGUGUGUUGUUGUACUUCCCAUUUGUACUCUCACUCUGCUGCUGUUGUUGCUGAAACAUUUUUAGACUCAACUCAACAACAAAGGUAAAACAGUUUGGAUGUUGGAUUUUGGUUUGAUUAAGAUUUUAAAUUACCAACUAUUACCGGUAGAUAUAGAUUUUUUUUUUCUGUUUCCUGCCCUAUAUUAUUCAUAUAAUAUAAAAGCACUAAAAAAUUAUUAAUCUCUUAAUUUUAAUAAUUAAAAUUCAAUCUGUGUUAUUUUUAGUAAAAAAAUAAUAAUAAUCUUAAUCUUGGUAUUUGAAAAUUCCCCACCACGUAAAUUUUCUAUGAACUUGGCUUGGCUGCAUUGAAUGCCCCUCUAAACAAAAUAUCCAACGGUGGCAAUGCUGCAAUGCUUGUGAUAAAAGAAUUUCCCUCACUUUUUCAUUCUUCUUACUCACUCAACAAAUAGAAAAAAAAAUCCACUUUUCUCCGCUUUCAGUUUUGUAUCCACAUGCCUUAUUUUGAAGAAGGAAAAAUAAAUCCAAGAAUAGUGAUGAAUAUACAUAGGAAAGUAAAAUAUUAAAAGUAUUUUUGCCAUUAUAAUAAUAAAUGUUUAAUUUUCAAAUAAAAAUAUAUAUAUUUCUGGUUCUUCUAUCAUUGUUACCUUGUCUGUGAUUGUCUGGACCCAUUAAAAAUCCAGUUAGAAUACAUAGGAGCAAUAGCAUACGAGGGGGAUUUUGCCAGAGUAUAUAAAAGUCUAACCCCUUCAAUGGAUCAUAAUUGAUUGUUGCUUUAUUAAUGCCUGCUGCUGCCUGCUUGAUUUAGUUUUAAUAUACUAAUAGAUAGUUAGCAGUGGCUGUUAAUCCGAUGCUGGAAUGAAGAACCAGAAAGACUACUAAAUUAAUUAACAUAUGCAUUUUUGCCAACCAAAGUAAUUAACAUAUGCAUCCAAGAAAACCCAGAAAUUAGCAGGAGUAAAGCAAAACAAGAGAUCCAACCUCCCCCAACCUCAACUAAUAGACAAAACUAUACAUUGGUUCUAAUCAAAUAUAGCAUAACUUAUAAGAAGAAGUGGUUCAGCCAAAGAACUUGGGAUCAUAGCCAUUGCUGGAUGUUGCCAAGAUGUAGUAAGCAACAAUAUGGCCAAUGGACCCCAAGCAAGAACAUCGACGAUGUUGAAUCCCACAGGAUCGUUGGACUUGAGAAGGCUAACAUACUCCUUGGCUCGUGUGUCCCCAGCCUCAAAGUGUGUCAACCCGUUUUGCUCAGGCACUUGCUUGGCAACGUUCUCUCUUUGGAAGUUGAAGAACACAAACCUACCCAAGAAUAGGGAAAGACCCGUGCUUAGGCUUAUCACAAUUGGGGCGCUGAGCUCUGCUUUGACAGCAAGCCUAGCAGAUGAGUUUCUGGCGAUGCGGGUGACCCUGGAUGAGGAUUUGGCCUUGCUGAGGGGUCUGAUGCCUUGGAAUGAGAUGCUGGAGGGGCUGAGAUGGUUGCUGGCAUGGUUCUUUUGGAUGGUGGAGAAGAUGGGGGUGAACAAAGUUGAGGAGGCUGCCAUGGUGCCUGCAGAGUGCGGAUUGAAAGAAGUCUUGGAUAGUGAAAAAAAUAUAGAUUUUGUAGGAGAUGAUGAUUAAGGGAAGUGGCGUAUAAAAGAUCAUAUAGUAAAAACAAGUGGCAGUAGGAAGAAGGAGAGGGGGAUUGUGAGGAUGGAAAUGGUGGGAGAAAGAUUUUGGAUGUCGACUUGGCUUUGUUUCAUUGGUUUCUUUUGGAUAGAGAUUUUUGGGUCCAAAUGAGAAAAGCUGAAAAGUCGUUGGACUGUUUGAGAAAUUUAGCUUGGGGAAUAUUUAGUUAUUUACAGUUACAGACAAGGGGUGGCCAAAUCAGAGGGUUAGGUGUUCGAUUCACGGCCGAAAUUGAAACUGUUUUUAACACCACAAUUUUAGUAAACGAAUUGUCAAGCACCCUGGCCUGCAUCUCCUCGCUUUAUUACAACUUGGUUGAUUUACUAAAUCCAGCCCAUCUAAUCGUGCCUUUUUUUUUUUUCUUUUAUCAGAAGUCCAGCUUGGCUCUAAUCAAACUUUGGUUGGUUUACAAUUAGCUAAGUUCUUAUAGAGUGUGAACGUUUUUGUUCAGCUCAUUUAGAAAUGCCUUAAAUAUGGCUGAGCUUAGUUUGAUUAUAUACAAAGUUAAAAACUCAUUUCGGCCAAAUACCACGAAAAUGCAAACUCAAAUUAUCCUGCACAACAGGAUCAUAGUCAUUUGAAUGGCAGAUUCAUUAAAGAAAAUAAAAAGAACCCCCCCGCCUUCAUUCUUCUUGUUCACAUGAACAGCUCUGUCUAGCCUUCUGUACAUCCCCCUACCAUUAACAUCUUACGAUGAUUGACCCCCACAAGUGGCAAUGAACUAAAAUCUAAUUGAACAUAAAUAACCUAAAAUUACGAAAUACAGUUUACAUUUACACCUACAACCCUCUUCUACAGCUUGGAAUGUUACAAAUUUCCUCAAAUACCAUCAACCACACCAACAUUUUUAUUUUGCGUACUGCACAAUCAACUCACAUUAGGGAAUCAAGGUAUGAGUAGUUCCUCCGACGGCCAUACUCAAGAAGGCUACCAUAUGUACGAUCCCAUACACCAAUAAAGAGAGACUCUGUGUCCGGACUAAAGGAUAGGCCAGAUAUCUCACCAAAGAAAUCGAUUUCUUGCUCAUUCUCAUACCCACUUUUCACAUCAUACACAUGCACAAAGUCAGCAGGCUCAGCCAUUGCCAUGUAAUUACCAUCAGAUGUAUAGCGUAUAGACCGUAUUGCUCCAAGAUUUCCCUUGAGAACAGAAAUUGACCUGGACAAGUUCCGAACGUCCCAAAUCCGGCAAGUUUUGUCUUGGUUCCCGGUGGCAAAAGUGACACCGUCAGGAUGCCAUGCUGAUGCAAAUGAGAAGUCCAAGUGUCCACGCAAAGGCAUAACAGUCUACAAUGCAAUUUCAAGUCAGCCGAUGCCACAUCCUAGACUUUGCAAUCUCCAAAAAUGUAAAUAGUUAAAAAGCAAGCAGACAACUACCUUCCCCGUGUCAGAGUCCACCAACAUAACAUCAGGGUUGUCUCCAACUAUUAUUAGAAGUUUCCCAUCAGGGCUCAAAGAAGUAUGCUGCAAAAGCAACACGUAAGAAGAGCUUAUAGUAUUUCACCUCAUCGUCUCUACAGUGUCGAUAGAACCAAUAAUUACUAUGCUGCAAAUUAAAUUUUAUAUGGAAUAAUAUUAAGUGUAUGUUUACCAAUCUAAAACAAACGGAAUCCCAAUACAAGAAACUUACAUUGACCGGCCAAAGAAAAUGAAAAUGCUUAGAAAGUUGAUAUUUCUCCAUAUCAAAAUCUCUGACUCCACAAUCAUUAUUUGAGGCAGUAAAGUGAGCUGCACCACUGGUAAUUCAAAAACAAAGCAAAAUUAGGUUCAGUUGAAUGUAAGUAUGUGACCGAUGCCACCAGGAGCUCAGGGAACAAGAAAUACCUUGGAGUGACAUAAAUCUCGACAGCGUUUGUAAUGGCAUUGUCAUCAUAAGUUGUCCUAGAGCAGAAGCUUAUUCCAGGUCGAUCUAAAUGCUACAUUCCAAAUCAAAAUCAACUAAUUAAUUCUAAAGAUAACUGGCAACAGGAUAACACUAACCAAGAGCUCAGCAAAAAAAAAAAAAAAAACUCCUCUUCAAAUAUAAACUUUUAGCAUUUUUGCCGUUCUAAAAUUUCUAAGUAAUAAAUAGUUCAAACCAAGAUAAAAUUGAUAAACUUUGAAACAGAAUGAGCAAGAAAACAAAGUUCAUAAAUUCUAAUGAGCUUAAUAGAAUCAUUUAGCCAGAUCCUUCUCAUAACAUGAAAGAUAUGUCUAACAAUGGAUUGAACUAGAAUAGUUAAGAUAUGAACAAUUGACCUCAAGUGACUAGCAAAAACUGAGAAAGAGCUAUAUUGUAUGGAAAAGCAACUCUGCAACUGCCGCACAAAGGCUCAUUCAUUCUCUGAUCUUUUUUUUUUAUUGUCAAUAAAGGAUUUAGGGGGAAACAAGAUACAUUACUCACCUUGCAUAUCAGUUCACCCUGGAAUCCUCCAGCAACUAGCAGCUUAUCUUUUACUGCAAGGGUACUGACUUGAGUUUGUGUAAAACCUUCCAUCAGACUUCCAGGAUGUUUCUAAGAGGGAAAAACACGUUGAUCAAUCUCAGAGGAAAUGAGAUGGGGGAAAAGAAGAGAAAGGAAAAGAAAGAAAAGGGGAAAAACCAACAAUUCAGAGAAAAAGCAAAUCAAUGCCAGAAAACAGACCUCAGAUGGUGCCACAUGACCAGACACAUUAAGAAUUUCACGCUUCCCAUGUAUCAAUGAAGACCAAUGCAUGACAGAAAAAUGUGACAAAAGGUAAACAUCAUGUUUUGAUGUAGCCCAUACCAAGUUCCUUAACUGCACCACCACAAAUGGAUAUGCUUAUCAGUCAAAAUGAUCACAUCACAGUCAAAUAUACCAAAAGAAAAGGACAGGCCAGUAACAUUACAAGAUAUGAGAAAGAAAUUUUAAAAAUAUAAACAUAAAUCUUAAAAAAAAAAAAAAAUCCUUCUAUGACGUCACAAAAUAUGAAUGGGGUAAAUAUAGCUGAUAUAAAUUAAAUGAAAACUUCCAUUCAGCUAACCUGAAAAUGAAGUAUUGUUGAUUUCACAGAUCUUGAAUUUAGUCUGAAGUCAUAAUAUGAGGCACCCUUCUUGGUAACUUUGCAAUCCUAUAUACAAAUUGAAAUAUCAACUUAGUUCAAUUACAACCAAAACAUUAGAUCCAAGAAUUGUUAUAAAAGGCAUGCAGGCAACUUAUAAGGACUUUUACCUUCCCUGACCCUUCUCCAGACAGAGGGAUAUUCUCGUAGUUCUUGUACUGUUCUAGCCUUGUUUGCCUAUAUUUUUCCCUAGUGAUGCUAAGGCGAUCCCAAGGAAUUCCCUGGAUGUCUUUUCCUCUUCUAGCUUGAGCAGCAGAAGUAUCAGAUAUCUUAUUAUUCUGCAAUACGGUCAAAUUACAAUAGGCUGGCUUGAAAUCCAUGAAUACUACAACAAAAACUUUGAAAUAUUUAGAAAUAGUAAAGCCAUAUUUGCCUAAUCUAAUGAUGCGUGAACUUAGUUGCUCAAGAAGUGCCUAUGUGAAUCUUGUAAAACAUAAAACAAACCAAGUCGUCAUAUUCAUCAACAUCAGAGUCUGAGCCAGACAUAUCUCUGCCACAAAACUCUUCAUCCAUGUCAUCAUCCAUGUCUUCUAAGUCAUACUCAUCCAUGUAUUCAGCAUCAUCUUCUCGGUAAUGGGACAUAUUCCACCAGACAAAACAACACCUACACCAAAAUAAAUUCAAGCAUUGAUAAUAAAUUAAUAGUCACUCAACAAUAAUAACCAAACCAAUAAAGAAAAAGCCACACAACAUUGAAUCAGAAGAUUGUAUUAUCUUAGAUUUUUAAAUAGUAAACUUUGUGCUAAGUACACUGAUGAAGUGAUGAUUAUAAUUGAUAAGAUGGUGCAUAUUUAAAAUCAUCAAGAACAGUAACAUGACAUGUACUGCCACUAAAACUCAUGCAAGUUACAAUUUAUACAAUGUAGUGUUUAAGACAUUAAAAUGAUAUUCACAAUAAUUAUAAUUAAAUCAUCUAAUGGUAUUAUCUAAGGAUAUUGAACAUGAUAAUCUAACACUAACAGAGAAUAGAAACCACAACCAAGUCAGAAUUAAAGAGAAAAUCAAAUCUAUCACCAAACAUGGGACCCUCGUCAAAGGAAUGGAAAAGGAAAUGGAAACAAAUAUCUAAAAUAACAUGCUCAGACAAUCAUAAAUCCAUCAUAUAGGUACAGUUUUAUGCCGAUUUUCAAUGUGUAUGAAAGACUUACAUCAGCAUGGAAAUUAUCUAAUUAAAGAUUGAUAGCCUAUGAGUCAAUCCCAUCAUAGGUUAUUUAUGGGAAACAUAUGCUAUAAUAUAUUCUGAAGUAAUUUUUGCAAUAUUUUCAAUUCAAUUUUGCUAUAAUCACGUUAGGAUAGAGAUAAAAUUCACUUCUUAAUUCAAGCAUGCAACGCCCCAAAAACAAGACUAACAAAACUUUUCCAAGGUGCCUAAAUUUGGAAACUUUACCACCUAUAAAGGUGAGUUUUUUCUAUCUCACAUUCCUCUCUGCAGGCCUAUUCAUCAUUGUAGAUUUUGGGGUCCAAGAAAGAAGUCAAGUCCCAUGAAAUUCAAUACAUUUCAUUUUUGAUUUUCUAAAUUUAAAUAGCACUCAUAAAAACACGACAACAUGGCCCAAAUAAGAAAUGACCUGAUUAAUAUAAACCCUAAUGGAAAUUGAAACGAAAAAUUAAACUCCCAAAUGAGAACAAUCAUGCAACAACAAUUUGAUUCACUUGCAAAUAAUAACUGUUAUCAAGAAAUAAAACAAUAAUUAUUUAAAAAAAAAAAGGGCAAACCCUAAAAGUGUUUUAAAAAAAAAAAAGAAUUAAUUUGUAUAUGCACCUAUGCAUCGAUUAACAGAAACGAUGAAGAUGAUCGAAGAUUAUGAACAUAAAAAAAAAUGAAUCAUGAACGAGUAAAAGAGGAACCUUUAGAAAUAUAAGAGAUUAUGGGAAGCUGGUGUUGUCCUCCGAUCUGGUUUGGAGAUGAAAAUACGAGCAUCAGAAUAAAUUGCAUGUUUUUAAGAAAUAUAUAUUAUAUAUAGAAAAUGAUUAUUUAUAAAAGGUGAGGGUUUUUUUUUUUUUUUUUUUUUGAUGAAUAGAAGGUGGAUUUUAUAUACUCAAAAAAUUCGUUGAGGGAAAAAUAAUUUUGCUGGUAAUAGUAAAUAGUAAUAGUAUAGUACAUUAGUAUACUUUUAUUAUUUGCUAUGUAUAUGUAUAUAUUUAAAGGGUGAAGGAAGAGAUUAGAAAUUAUAAUUUGAUGAUUCUAUUAUAUAGAAUAAUUUUAGGUAGAUAUGAAUUAGUAAUAUGUACGAUACGACCUCGUUUAACCAUAAAUGAACUUGAACCCGGGAUUGACUUAAUGGCCCAAUAAGCUUAUUGCCAUCAUGGUCCUACACUCGUCCCCCUACAUUCUAUUGUGGCUUUGAUUAUAUCCAAUUCCCAUUUGAAUUAGUUUUCAAUAUUUCUUCUAAGAUUUCAAUAUCUCCGAGGAAAACUUCAUUUCUUUAGUUUUAUCAGAAGGAAAAAAGAAAAAAAAAAAAAGAAAAUUUACAUAAUUAUUCUUUAAUCAGAUAGGCAUGAAGAAACAAAAUAGUCUCGAUCGUCAGUGGUAGUUGUAGUACACUUUGUUUUUAGAAACGACAAACAUGGAUCAGACAGAGACACUGACAACAGUGCUUAUAUACACGUUAACAACGUAACAUUAUCAGGUGCAAGAUCAAACCCCGUUCCACGACGCACUCUAUCUAUGAAAUGAGUGUCAUUUCCAUCUCAGUCCACGUCAUCGUCAACCCACCCUUGCCUUUACCUUAUCUCCAUCCAUCUAUCCAUCUCACCUCAUUUCACAAUCCCACAUAAUAAAAUCCUCCUCUUUGUCCGCGCAUCAGCAAUGGCCACGCUGCUGAGGAAGGUCUGAGAAUCAGUCUCCUAUCGUUCCUGUUCCACCGCCGACUCUGCCACCCAUCCACCCUCACUCACUCAUUUAACUUCUUCACCUAUUACAACGACGUUAUCAUAUUCAUCGCUGGGAUCCCUCUAUGAAGAAGAGAAGAUUACAAUGGUAUUUGGGUCACACCUGAUUAUGUAAAGUUUAGUUGUAGUGAGAAAUAGUUGAACUUUACCAUGGUAGAAAUAGUUGAACUUUACCAUGGUUAAGUCAGAUUUUCACCUCUCUUCUGUAUUGAUCACUCCAGAUACUGAAUCUGCCAAACAUCAAGAAGGCAGCUUAAAGAUGCCAUCCACACUGUCUUAUUUGACAUGAAUGUUCCUGCUAUUUGUGCUGUCAAUCAGGUAGAUCAUUGUAUUUAUAGAUAUUGUCUAGUAAUUACUGUUCUUAAAAGAAACAACCAAAAGAGAAAGAGCAACAAAGCAAAAAAAAAAAACACAAGGAACUUGAUUGUUAAAUGAAGCUGCACAAAUCCCUUUUAUUUGCUGGUAAUAGUCGUCCAAACCACAUCCAGAAAUAAAACCAAUUACUUGAUUGAAAACCAUAAAUCACGAGUGAAGGACAUCAUAAUUAAAUGAACUUAUAUACCAAUUUUUUUUAUGCACAUUCAGCCCAUGUGCCAAAUCAUCCAUAUUCAAUAACACGUUCAAAAUUAACUAGUAGCAACAAUAUUAAGUAAUAAAAUCAAAACUUGUUUAGUCUCAAAACGACCUGCAAAGCUCAAUAACCUCAGUAUCUCCUACCAGCACCACCCAGGUGACCAAAAACUGGGGGAGCAAUCAUAGUUUGUGGUUCAACUUCAAGAAGACCAGGAAUAUCAGCCAUGCCAAGAGCAGAAAGCAUGUCAAGAGUCUCCUUGUCAACCUUAAUUUCGUCGGUCUUAAUAGCUGACUCAUCAGGAACAAAGUCCAUGCGACGCUCGCGCUCUUCUUCUUGAAGCUUAAGUGAGAUGCCACGAACUGGACCCUUCUGAAUGCGCUUCAUCAAGUGGGUUGAGAAGCCAGCAAUCUUGUUACGAAGGCGCUUCGUAGGAAUGAGAGUAACCUCUGCAACAAUCUUCUUGUUGGUGUGGAAGUCCAAGGUCAUGCGAGAGUAGUACUUCUCAAUGACCUGACGCGAAGACUUCUUCACUGUCUUGGUGCGAACACGACCCAUCUCAGAUAAUUUAGCUGUUCCUGCAAAGGGAAGAGGAAGAAGAAAUGAAUCUAGAAACUAGAAUGAUUCUUGGUUUCACCUCAGAAGUAGGGGAAACGCAAAAACCUCUAGUUGUAGGGAAGAAGAAAAUUCAAUCAGCAAAAACAAGUUUGCGAAAUGAAAAAUCAGAGUCUAUUGAAGCAUUGUAGAAGACAAGGAUAAAUGAAGGCUUGUGUAGAGACCUAAGAACCAAGCAGAUAGGUUGUUAAAAGACCAUCAAAGUGUUUCCACAUCUUUCACAACUUCAAAAAGUAAAUUUGGUCCAUUCUGUGAUGUAUAAUGCCCAGAUAAACCUACUGGUUCAUUUUGGACAUGACAAAGUGACAACAGCAUAUAAAAAGAACUUUUUUUACAUUUUCUGAGUAACCAAUCAAACAAUGAAGAGAAGAACGUACCUUGGUAAAGAAUCAGGACGCCUGAGAAAGAGGCUGCACCUAAGACUCAAAAGAAGAAACAAAACCCAGCGCCAACAGCUUGGAAUAUAAACCUCCGGACGGGUAAGGGCCUUAAUCUUAUUUUAGGGUUUUUAACCUUUCAGUAAUUUUUUAUGGGCCCAUGAUCUCUAUGUACGUAUACAGUUGAAUCCGUCUAUCUUUUUUCUUUUUAUACAAGUAAGCUUUUGUUUUGCUAAAAUUGCAAUCAAGUCCUUGAAUUGGAGCAAAACAAGUGAUUGGAGGCUUCUUGAAUUGGAGCAAAAUUUUCAUCCAAUGUCCAAUCCAUUUGUAUGAAAGAAAAUUCAUUUUUGUCUUCCUGCCUUUUUCAUCUCAACUACAGCUAGUAUCUAGAUCUAAUAGUUGAACUUUUCAUGGGAAUGUGAUAAAUUAUACAUGUAUGAAAAUAUUAUAUAGUGGAUCAAUAAACUUUAAAUCACUUCUGAUUCUAAACUCUUAAAAAAAAAAAAAAACUCUUUUAUGUUCAACUAUUUUAACUUAUAGCAGAUUUACGUAGGGUCUUUUUGUUAUUUUGCAAGAAUUUAUACGUACACUGUAGAAAGGAGCAAAUUGAUGGAGAAAAAAAAUUAAUUAGUAAUGGUAUGUAUUAAGCACAAAUCAUGUCCAACAAAUAGCGGGUAAGUUGAAAUGAAAUUGGCAAAUAAUAGUUUUGUUGUUCCAACUUUGACAUGCAAAUAGUAGAGACGACACACAAAUCUAAUUUUCUCCUUCAGGAUCGGGAGAGAUGAAGUUGUAUGUUAGGCAAGGAGGUUUUCAGGAUAUAGAAUCUAUGUAGUAGUAGUAGUGGCAGUUCACAACUUCACAUCACCAACUAAUACACACGUCAAAGCUCGGUACGUGUGCUAAGAAGAUACCACACCCCCAUUAGCAUUGCAAACCCAUUCUCACACAGCACUAUUCUCCCAACUAUUACCAGUAGCAUUCCAAUCUCUACCACAUUUCUUCAAGUACAAAGAAAAGCAUGGCUGACGAACCUCAUGUAUCAAAAUACUGUACUCUUCACAAGGUUAAAAGUGGGAAUAUAAUAUAUAAAUCAACAAUUGGAAUAAAUGGAAUUCACUUCCAGGCUUUCACAACAACAAGGAUAAAAACAUUAGGAACCCGGCCGUGGCCAUUAGCAGCAUCGAUGGAUUACAUAUUAGCUGACUACCACUAGCAUUCUCUGAUGUUGAUGGAGGUAAUGCAGGGCAUGCAAGCCCUUCUUUCCCUUCAUGGCACUCACUAGCAAAAAGACCCGGAGGAUAUUUCCCAUAAAGAUUAAUGUAGCUGAACAUAGUUGAAGCACAAUCGGUUGUCAAGUCAUUGAUCUGUUCCACAUAAGGACAAGCAAAUUCCUUGAACGCAGAACAACAACUUUCAGGUGGAUACUUGGGUCCUUUGCAUUGGCUUGUGAUAAUUGUGUAGUUCAGAAACUCAAAGUUAACUGGGCAAGCUGCAGAUAAAGAAACAAAAUAGUAUGUCAAGUUUAAUAUCCUUUCAUAGUUAAACAACAGAGCCCACAAAAAACCUUUGCUUUCCAUCUAACAUCUACAAAGCUCCAAGAGAUCUUUCGAUGGAAUCAACUUUUUCUAACGUUGCUGUUUGACAAUAUUUGAAUUAUGUGGUGCACAGGGCUUAAGGCGAUGAAAUAAACUUCUGGAAUCUUCAAUAAGCCGAGCAAAAACGCAAAAAUUAACAUAGCUAUGCAGUUAACAAAUGGGUAUCGAAUUAUGUGACGGAUAGUAUUAAGGGAAGGAAACAUGUACAAGAUCAUCUAAUUCUAGCAAAGGUCUGAUUAUUUAACAUUUGCCACAAAUGAUUUGCAAAUCUUGAGUCUCAUCUAGCUCUUGGAAAAUAAAUGAUAGGACUAAAUAUGCACAAGUUUAGGGUGUCGUUUAGUAAAGAACAACAUUAUUACGCACUCGGAAAAUUUCCCUUACAAGAACAGGAGACAUCGUGAAAGAAAAAUAAAAUAGCACCCAACAUCAAUUGAAUGAUAACACUGAAUAUGGUUAACUUACAGAAGAACAUACCGUUUGACUGUUUUCGAGCUUGGAAAACAGAAAACAAGCAGGCAAUAAAUGGGUUGAUGAAUGAUAUUUAGCUCUGCUAGUUGCUCCAAUAAUAAGAUGUUUUUAAAAUGUAAGAUGAACCAAGAAAACAGUUUGAUAGCAUCUUUGUCGUUACAACGUAGAGCAUCUAUGUUGAUGAUAAACACCUUAAUCAGCAAAUUUCAUAUUUUCAGUUUGAUGGAAAUCGUUUAUUGUUUUGGUAAAAUGUCAAUGAAAGUUUCGUAAUGUUUAUGGUUUUAAUUAAAACAGAAUGGCAAAAGCAAGAAAACAAUUUCUCCACCAGAGCUUCCGGAAAAUUAAGACAAGAUAAAAAGUCCCCGUCAGUCCCUUCCUCCCCCUGAUGAAGAUAUUAGCAUAAGCAGAAUUUCAUCAUCUGAGAUUACGGCUAAAUCAUUUGUGUGGCACAUCAACCAAACUCAUUUAUCUCCAUUAAAAUGGUGCAAUAUUAAAAAGGGAGAAGAUCUCAAAUGGACUAACACCAAGAAAAGAAAAUCUCAAAGCAUCAGAUCUGGUAGCAAAUGAUUUAUCUGAUUCUAAACCCUAUCACCGAACCUUUCUUUUUCGAAAAUUAAAAAAAAUAAAUAAAUGGAGAUAGAAGGUAAAAAAGAACCUUUCUUGGUCUGAAGGAGGUUCCUUCCUGUGGAAAUGAAAGAGUCGAAGACACCAUCUGCAUUCAGAUCAUCAAUUAUUAGAAGGUGAAUGAUGGAUUCAGAAGCUGGAGACCCUGUAAAAUCUUUUGAUAAAUACCUGAAAUUGAAGUGGAAGCAGAGACACCCAACAAAAGGAAGAAAAGUGCAAACCAAAAGAACAACUUUUCUCUCCCCAUCAAGUACUUCUGUUUUUUUGGUUUUUGCUGUGGGCUAAUAAAAGGAAAGCAAGCAGAUCUGCCUCCUUUCUGGGGCAGAGCAAUAUAGAAUGGACUAUUAGAAAAUCAAGGCUUCUUUAUGCUUUGCAGCUUCUGUUUCUCUUCUGGGUAUUCAAGCAACAGAAAAGCCAAAGCUUCAAGCUUUGAAAUUUGGAAUUGAAUAAUAUAUAAAAUAAAGAAAGACAAAGAAGAAAAGAGAAAAGAAGGCGGUGUGUUGGUUUGCUUAUGAUUCAAAAUGGGUUACAGCUAAAAACGCGAAAACUGGGCUCCUACUCCAACUGUGACUGUCCAAACAUAAGUUUUUGAUGAUUUUAAGACUGUCUGACCACUGUUUUGUUUUACCAGCUACUAGCUGAUAACUGAUGAGAUCAACUUUUUCAACGAAAGUUAUGGAGCAAGAUAGUAUAUUAGAAAACGAAGCGGCAGCAAAAGAGGAAAAGGGAAUUUUCCUUUCUUUUUAGUUUUUAAUUUGUUCAAUCUAUACCUUCUCAAUUUUCGUCCAAAAAAUAUCUAACUCAUGUGUAAAACUAUAAACUAUUUUAUACACAGAUGCCUGCAGUUGUCAUUGCCUUCAGAAGUCUAACUAAACAACAACAAUAGUUGGCCAAAAUAAUCAAUAGCCUGGCAGUAAAAUGAGUUGAAUUUUAAACCUGAAAAUUUUCGAGGCAUUUUUACAUUUUUUUUCUCUAAAAUCUUACAUGGAGAGUUAAAAAUAGAGAUAUAGUAGAACUCACAGGGAGAUAGGAUUGGUAGCUCAAUUAGCUUUCAAUGAAUUUUGAUUAGACUCAAUUUUAUAGGAUUGAUUUUUACUUUUAAAUUUAAAUUUUUAUUGAAUAAUAUUAAAAAAAAAUUAAAGUCAAGUUAAGUUUAAAGUGUAAGUAAAUUCAAUCUGAUCCGAUUUAAUAUUAUAUAAAAAUUAUUUUUUAAUUUUUUAUUUAUAUAUAUAUUUAUAUAAUUAUAUUUAAAAAAUAAUAUUUUAUUAAUUUUAAAUCAAAUUGAAUUGGGUAUAAUUUAUACAAUAUCAAAUCGAAUCGAAUUUAAAUAUAAUAAAAAAAUAAAAAAAUUUAGAUUCAAAUUUUAUAAAUAUAAAAUCGAAUCGAAUUUGAGAAGAAUAAAAAUCAUCUCGACCCAACUUAUUGUCGACCCUAUACAAAGGCGAGCAUAAUUUAUUUGCGCCAACCUUUACAUUAAUAUGUAUAUGAUUGGAUUGCAUUUAUAUCAGUUUUGGCAUAAUAACUCCAGGACCUUAACCUUCUACCAUAUGGUGAGGUUGCUAUUAUUAAUUACUAACCUAAAUGCUUGGUCAGCUUUCCAGACAGAACCAGCCAUGCAAAACGAAAAACCAAGGAAUAUCGACCCACCAUUCUUUUUUUCUUUUUUUAAUUUCAUUUAAUUUGAACAUCUAAAGGAUUAUUAAUUUUUUGAUUUAAAAUUAUUGAAGAUUGAAAAUUCAGUAUUCCACUUCUAGAUCACAUAGACAUCGGCAAUGAUUAUCAAACUCAUUCACUAUUUUACAACUAUAUCAAUCAUUAUCAUCAAAGAAUGAAUGAAAUUACCCUUUCCUUUCCAUAAGCUUAUCAUAACAAACAGAUAUUCUCAAGAUCUUUUGGCCGUUUUGGUACGGCGGUUAUACUUAGACGCGUGAACAAAAUAAAGUCAGCUCAACUCUCUUUGUUAUUGGCCUGCAUGCAUUCUCCCAAUAUAUAUACUCCCUUGAUUUGAAAGUGUUGUCUUUGAUUUUUUCUACUAGUAUGAAAAAGCUAGCACGGUGGCAAGAAGACUCGAAAGAAAAACAAUGGUCAAGAGAUGGCCUCCGCCAACCGCAAAAAGGCUAUAUAUGGCCACAACUCCCUAAAGAUAACAUUAUCAGGGAAGACUCGGGUCGGCUGUCCUGAUCAAGAAUCUUUAUUUUCCACUUUCUCCUCAUGAAAUCAUCAAUGCUCGCAUAAUCUUAAGCAGCAACUGGGCAAAUGGUUUCGGCCAGGGCCAAAGGGUUCUAACUAAGAACCCCCUGAAAACUGCUUAGGUUCUGCGAUGGGUUGGCUAAUAUCCAGUCUUAUCAGAUCAAUGUUUGGAUCGCUUCUGGGGCUCUAGGUGGAUGCUUUAUGAACCCAUAAUUGCCUGCAAACGGAUAAAAUCCUCUCAGCUCCAUCAGGUGACCUAGACUCUAUAUAUACCUAUAUAUAGCACUUGAAGGAAAUCCAAGUUUAGCUCUAACUAGCUCCAUCAGGUGAAAAAGACAGAUGAAAGGCGCACGGUUGUUGAUCGCAACCCACAAAUGAAACUUAAUAUAUCAGGAAGUUGUGCCUCUAACUAGCAAGGACCUCUUGCACUAGUAGAUAAAUUAGAUGCAUAUUGACUCUAAUCCAGCAGUCAUAAGGCGUGAGCAAAGCCAUUCCCUCCGACGUUAUAGAUUGUAUUGCCUGUAUAUUGAGGGGAAUCUUGGACAUUUUCCUUUUAUCUAAAGCAUCUAUAGAUAUAGUGGAUGAUGUUUUCAGGUCUUGGAUGUCACUCUCCGUCUCAGAUAGUGAAGUGGGUCAUGAGAAAAGGAAAAUGUAUGUGUUUUAAGUGCCCUUAUUUGACCUUGUGUCAUGGUGGCUUCCAUGGAACUCCAGUUAGGAUUCAAAAUUUCAUUCACUAUGCUCAGUGUUUACAUUAAGUAGGACAUAGCUAUUAUAUUCAUUCGAACAUAAUGAGAUAAAAACAAAAACAUUACUCAUUGUAAGACUAUAUUUCACUUUUUUUUUUCUCCACACUGUUUCAAAGAUAGGUUUUGGAAAAAUCCUUAUAGUUCAACUGUAACUUCAGUCAUGUGGGAGGUGUUAAAAGGAGACGAAGAAGGCAAAAAAAAAGAGUCCAUCCCCCAUGCUUCGUCCACGAGCCACGAACAAAGAUGGGCUCAGAUGACGUUCUUUGUCUGCAUCGACAUCCUAUAGCUCCACUUUGUCUGCAAGCUCAAUCUCCAAACAUUCAACAGAAUAAUCUUCGUUGCUGCAACAAGUAUGCCAACAAUCGUCACUCCUCGCGUGAAGAAAACAAUGACUUGAAAAGAAUUGAUAUACACCAACAUGACAAAUCGGCAUUUGAAACUCUAAAGCAUGGCUAGAGGCUAGAGCUAAUAUUUCAUAAGCCUGUAACAAUUUUCUUUUCCAUAAACAGAUUAGCUGAUGGUUGCCUUUCUCAAAUAGAAAGUUAGGCUUUGAAUUCCUUUUCAUUUGGUGUGAAAUCAUCAAGCAAUGGCUUCACUUAUUACUUACCCCCCCCCCCCCCCCUUCUUCUGCUGCCCUUAUCACAUUGACAGAGUACUAAAACACAUGAAACCUCCUAAACACCAGAAUAGGAUCAUGUUCAAGAUUGCAACACUGUGGAAUAUACUAUUUUAUAGAGAAUGGAACUUACACGACAUUUAGAUGCACGUAUAUUUUCCAGCAACGCUGCAAUCUCAAGUUGCUUCAUUACUGUAGGAUGCAGAACCUGUAACAUGAAACUUUUGUCAAUGAUUGUGAUCAUUUAAAUCAGUCUUCAAACCUCUAAUUUAUGUAAAGCAAUUUCCAUGAGCCAUACUCGCUUAGUUUUGUCAAGGUCAAACUUGACAGAUUUGAUUCGGUCCAGAGAUUCCAUAAGCAUUUUCUCCUUUUCUGCGGGAAUUCCAGCAGGUUUGUUGCUAAGUUCCUCAAAUGCUUUCUCUAGUUUCUGAAGACGCUCUAAACAUGGAAGGACAUGGUUUUCUUCAUUAACAGCUUCUGGUGCUGUUGAAUUUGAAUGGCUCUUCGUGUUGGAUUCCAUCAAUCAUAUUCGAAGGAUGAAUAUUGUUUGGCCUUCUCCAAAAUUCAAAUUGAACAGUGCGAAUAAAGGCAACCAGUCUAACCAAUAAACCUAUUAGCAUUUUUUCCACAGAAUAAAUAUUCCUUCUCCCCACCUUUUCCUUGACAGUGUCUAACCAACGGAUGACUGAAAUUCCUCAAAUUUGAUUCAAUUUGGAAAACAAGUCCAAAGAAUAGGGAAUUAUAACAAAAAAUCCAUCAAGUACAGGGUAAAUUAUCCACAUCGUAUGUGAAACCAGAUAGUAAACAAGAAACACAGUCCAUGCACCAUCAAACAAACGAUAUAGCAAAGGUAAAUUUAAAGUAUCCUCCUCUAAGAAGAGAAACUGAUUACUGUGAUAAAAUAGCAUUUUCAAAUACCUUCCGAAUAAUAAGAAGAUGUUCUUUGAUGAGAUUGGCAAUCCACAUAACUACAAUUAGGCAACUGAUCUGGGGAAUAUAGCAGUCCUAGGUCACUUUCUAUAGUUUUCUCAACCAGAGGGAAACUAUCAUCACAACUAUAGUAAGCAUUUGGAUCUGACACCCCCACCUGCAUAAAUCACAAUCAUUUUUAUUAAAAAGGCACAGAAACACACAUUAGUUACCACAUAAAACAGAAUUCUCUGCUUUUGCAACUCACUUCCUCAUGAACUGGUGCCAGACAAGGAAAUACAGAGCUUCUUUUUCCAAUUGGAGAACACUGGUCAUCAAUAUCUGAUCCAGACUCUGCUGUUGACGUUUCACUAGCCCUUCCCUGACAAACAUAGUAUGUGUUAAAACACGUGCAGAGAAGAUAUAAUCACAGAACAGUAAUGUCCUCAAUGAUCAUGAGACUAAAUACUUGCCUUUAGUGGCCGUGUUUUAACAUGGGAGUCAUAUUUAUGCUGGUCAUUAGAUACUCUGGUGAUCUGCCUCACAAAUGUUGCUUCUGCAUUAUGUGCAAGCUAUCAAUGGAACCAUAUGUUAAUCUACGGACAAAAGUUGAGUGAAACCUAAAAUCAUGUCUAACAAACAUUCCAUGCUUGAGAGGAAGAAACAGCAUAUUACAUAAACAGAACUAAGUUCAUUAAAGGGAUGGUUACCUUCAUUAUCUUCAGGAUCAUUCCAUGGACCUUUAUUGGAUCUAAGACACCCUCCCUCCACAGAGCAAGUGCAUGACCCUCCUAAGAAAUCAGGCAACUGACUAAAAGAGGUGAAGGAAAAGCAAGGACUUAGGAGGGAUCAUAGGUUGAAUUCUCUUGUAGGUAAGAAUGUACAAAUAAUUAACAGACCUAGAGUCAAUGAUUUCGAGUAGCCUACCGAGAGAUUUGGUCUCCAAACCUGCAAAUUAUAAAAAAAAAAACUGAACUAGGGAGCAGGAGAAGGGGAAUGGAAAGAAGAAAGCCUAAAGCCAUAUCCUUUACAUUUAUCUUUCCAAUUGUCCUUGCAUCAAGAAAUUUCUGAGCAACCGGCCAAAGCAUCUUUUUGAAUCCAGGACCAGCAUUGACUAUGUACAUUCCGUGUAACGUCUGUAAAGCCAUACAAAAAAGAAUUACAUAACAAAUAGAAACAGAAAGUAAAAACAUGAUUCGAUUGGAUCAGAUACCUAGGGGUAAUAACCGUUGUCUAAUUUAGUCAUGGCAGCCAAAAGAUUUGCAGCAGUCCUGCUAAAAUUCUUCAUGCCCUACGUUCAAAAUCAACAUUUAAUUACCGAUUAUAAUUCUACCAUUAGGCUGCUGUAAAUGAAACAAAAAAAGGGGCAUCAAUAGAGGAAGAAAAUUUUUCAAUUUCCCAUAGUAAAUAUGACUGGCCCUAUUGCACACUCCAUUAGUGCCUCUGCUUAAGUCAUUAAUGAAAUGGGGCCAUAGCAAAUGUAAAGUUAAAAUGCAGCUUUUGUAUUCAGUUCUAGUGCUAGACCUUAUAUCUAAAAGAAAACUUUCGAGUAGAUUGACAAUGCAGAAUUUUUCUAAAAGCUACAAGGCUAGCAAAGUUCUGCCAUAAUGCUAUCUAUAAUGUUGUCAAAUCUUCUAUUUGUUAAAGGAUGUCAAAGAUAAGAGCUAAAUACCAAUCCUUGUACAUCCAAUAUAGUAGUUGUUGAGCAGAUUUGUUGCUUUGCCGCAAUUGAACAAGCAGGGAAUUUCUCCAAAAGAGCUCUCUCAAACUCUUGGACAUGGUACUUCAAAUAUUGAUCUAUGGUGGUGAUACGCAGAAGCCUACUUGGAUGGGCUUUUCCUAGCCGCUCAAUAUAAACAGGUCUCCCUUCCUUGUCAACUCCAUGGUACGCUUGGGGAUAGUAUUGCAAUACUUCUUCCAGCUCUUCAAACUCGAAAUCCUAAGUAUUGAUUGACGACAAAAGGUUUAAACUUCUAUGAUAAAAACACAAAAUCUAAGGCGCCAGAAAACUCUUUGGCCCCGUCAAAUAUGAUGCAAGACAUUCAUUUGUGGUUUUAUUUGUUAAGUCUUCUCCAGUAAAGCAUUCCAAAUUUAAUAAACAUUAUAGACUGGAUUCUAGAAAGAACAAAGUUUACAUUUCUCACCUCCAAAAUGGUGUCUGUUCCGAACUCUCUCCUCCAUUUAAGCAUUUCUUCCCACAUCUGGAUUGUUUUUCCAAUGUUAAACUCUCUAGCUUUCAAGAACCUACACGUUAAAAGUAGUAGUACUUCUUAGCAUACUUGAGUUGAUCAGGUAUAAUGUGAAACAUUCAACAAACAGAACUGUGGAAUUUGGCAGCUUAAGCUUAAUAAAGGCUUACACCCUUGUGUCUGAAAAGCACCAACCGACCUCAACAAAGUAUGAUAAUCGUCAUGCUUACGAGGCAACAAAUCCUUAUGAACAAGUUUUUGACGCAAUUCAUGAGCCGCAGUCUCCUCUUUUGCAUCCCUGACAUCCUCAAUGGAUACAGCAGGAAACCGGUAAUCUAUUUUCGUCUUCCCUCUUUUCUUAAGAGAAUGAGUAAACUUGUUGGAUGCAUUUAUGGCCUUCUUUUUCAGAUUUCCAAUUUUGGAUCUCCUUCUCUCAUACUCAGAGUUGUCAAAAUCAAACCUUCUGUCUCUGCUUUCAUCAUUUGCUCCAAUUUCAACCACCCGUUCCCAAUAUUGACAAAACCAAAAUAAAUUAUAAAUUAAACAGGACAGAAAUGCAUUCUUGAACUAGCAAACAUAUAGUAGUAGUAGUAGUAGUAGUGUUAACUAAUAUACCUGACAUUUCAGCGCAAUUUAAAAGGAAAAGCUUUGUUCUUUGAAGCUAGUAGUAUUGUUCAAUGGAAUGAAAAAAAAAAAAAAAAACCCAUCAUGCUCUGCUUCUGCACACUGUGAAAAAGAAAUAGAAAACAGAAAAUAGAAACUAAUGAAUUGAAAUGAAUCAUUUGGCAUUAAGAAGCAAUAACUAUAAAGCAGCAGAAUUUAUGGAAAAAAAGUAAAAUGUAGAGUUGAAAUAUGACAAAGAAAUAUGAGGGGAUGAUCAGAUCUGGACAAAAAUGAACAAGCUUUGCUCUCAGUUAUCAAUGAAAGCUUAAGGACUUGCGGACUAAUUUUCUUCAUGUCUCCUUACUCAAAAUGUUUUAUUUAUUAAUUAUUAAAAUGAAAUAAUUACUCUGGAAAUUGGGGAUUAAUGGUAGUAUUAGUUCAACUAGCUUAUGUCAGCACGCCAAUACUUUUAUUUAUUUAUUUAUUUUUAUAUACAAAUCUACAAUUAUAUAUUUGAAUAUUUACCAAAAAAUAAUUAAAUAAUUGUUAUCCUAAGUGGCGGCUAAUAUGGAAUGGGGGUGACGGUGACUUACUGACUUUUAAGGAGUAAAGUCGUUUUCUCACUCAGAUUCUAGUAAUACUAGUAUUAUUUAUUUAUUUAUUUAAGCAUAUAAAUAUUUAACUUUGCUUAUAUUUUACUUAUAAUCGGAGUAACACUACUGAAAUUAAAAUAUGGUCCGAAAUUCCAUAUUUGAUUAAAUCAAUUAAAGAAUUUUUUUUAUAAGAAAAAAUUUAAAGAUAGAUAAAUUAAUUAAUUUUUUAAAUUAAAAUAAAAUAUAUUAUAUUUGAUAAUUUAAAAUAUAUGAUUAUAAAUUAUGCAUUCAAAAUGAUUUCAAUAAAUAUUUACAUACAAAAUUUAAAUUUAAAAUUUUUUUAUCAAAAAAAAUAAAUUUAAUUUAAUCGAUUGAAUUAAUUAUUUAUUAAAAAUUAAAGAUCAUAAUUUUUUGUUGCCUUGACUCUAAAUUAAGGUAAUUUUUAAUUUUAUAUUUAUAUAUAUAUAUAGAUGAUUAUGAUUUAGUUACGAUAGAUGAUGAUGGAUGAUACGACUAGACGAAGUGAAGAAGCGAGGAAGAGAGUAGUCAAGGAGUGAAUGUUAAAUGUAUUAGUACUUAAAUUUUAAUUUUUUUUAUAAGCUUUUAUUAAUAAAUAUUUUAUCAAUUUAAAAAAUUUAUAAAUAAAAAUUUAAUAAAUUCAAAAUUUUCAAUUAAAUUAAUGAUUUAUUUUGACUUUUAUGAAUUGAUUUUCUUACUCUUAAAUUAUUUUUGAUAAAAAAUAGUACAUAUUAGCUUAGGUCAGCAUGAUCUCUCUUUCUUUGGCAAAAUUACAAUGGUGGCAGUGGCUUGGGCUCUACCCUUGCACGAGGCCAGAGAGUAAGAUCUCCAGAAUCCAUCUCUAUCUCAUGACUUGGCUUUUUCUGCUUGUGGUUGCGCAUCCAUGACUCCACCUGUCAGCCAUCCCCUGACUAAGUCUAAACUACACAUCACUGUUUUUCAAUCCUAGGACCAGGUCUUGGAAACAUCAUUCAAUGCUACUAGUUAGUAUCCUUUUCCAUAGAAACGGAACUGUUAAAUCUUAAAUACUACUACUGCUACAAUUUAGACAGUUCUACUUUAUCAUCAGCAGUAGCAGCACCCAGCAGCCCUGCAAAAUCACAAAUGCAAAACACAUGAAAAAUCCUCGCUAGAAACGCCAACCCCACCUGUACCAUGCACCUGAAUCCACCAUCAUCACAUUCAAUUUCUGAUCAAACAUUUUUACUACAAAUAUUUAUAUAAACCACAAAAAUGAAUCCAUGAAAAUCCAUCAUUCUAGCUAUUUUUUAUCUUUAUUUGGAAUAAAUGUGACUGUUGAUGAAGUAGUUCUUACUAGUACUCCUAAGUUAACCAACGAGUUUGAAACAGGUCCAUCCAAGACACAUUAAUAAAGCAUGUUUUCGCGUAUCUAUGAGGAUGGUCCCAUGCUAUCCACCACUCUUAAAAAAAAAAAGUACUGGUUGGUAAUUGUGACUUUUAAGUCAAAUUCUUUCAUUAUCUAAUUAUUGUUAUUCAACUUUGAUUUUGACUAACAUCCAGUAAAAAAGUUAGCUUAAAGAGGAAGGUUUAAUGUGGUCAAUGAUUUUGGACCAUUCUUAUUGCAUCAACACAUGCACAAUAUUGUUCAAGCCAAGCUCCACAAAUCAAUCAGGUUGUUUGAAAAAUUAACCAAAGGAAGCUAAAGCUCAACUUUCGUUAUGAUUGCAUUUGAGUGGUCACAAACUCCGCAAGCAUGCCACUACAUUUUCUACCCCAAUUCGUGCAAUAUAUAUUAAACAUUAAAAUAACAUUAAAAUUAUCACAUGUAGAAUUGAGACAUAACACGAUCAUAUUAUUUUUAAAAAAAUCUCAAAAUAAUACGAAGACUUUAUUUCUUAAACAUUUUAAAAUUCUUCAAUAAAAUAAUCUAUCCAAUAAAAUUCAUAUUUUUAAUCUAGCUGAUAAUACAUCUUUAUAUAUCCAAAUACAAAUCAUAUAAAACACAAAACUGCCUCUUAAAAUCUCAUUGACCAACAUAUUCUCCGAUGAUUAAGUAAUCUUACCCAUUUCAUCUUCUAGUUUCAUAUAAAACUAAUCAAACUUAUCACUUAAUCAUCUGUAAAGAAAAAGUAAAAGGAAAAUGAGCAAACCACAGUUCAGUAAGUAUAGGCUCACACACCUUACCAGAUCAAGUAUCGUUUUCUUAUACAUCAUAUAAAUCAUUCAAAACAUUCAUCAAAUCAUAAUAUCAAAAUAUUUCAAGAUCAUCGUUUUGUCAAAUAUUUCAUAAAUUCAUAAAUCAAUAUCAAAAUAUGUCACUUUAUAAAUUAUUGUAAAAUAUGCUAUUAUUCAAAUAUCAUAAUCAAACCAAAUCAUGGAUUAAUCAUUAAAAAUCAUCAUAAGUCAUCAUAAUCAUAAAUCAUCAUUAUCAAUCGUUUAUCGUUAGCUACGGUCAUUGCUAUAACCCGUGACAUUGGUCAUAUCGAUAAUUUCAUCCUUAUGAUCAUUGCUAACUAUUAUAACCCGUUAGCCAAGGCCUUACGCUAACUACUAUUACCCGUUAGCAGGAUCGUAUAAUCAUGUCUUUGCUAACUACUAUUAUCUGUUAAUCAGGGUCGUAGAACUAGUUCUGGUGUCGAUGAUCCUACUUCCUAGAGAUAUAAAAAAACGUAACCCUCACAAAUCAUUCUUUAAUCAUAAAUCAUUUUCUCAUUUCAUUCAUAAGCAUGAUCCAUCAUUUAUAUAGAAAAACACAAAAUAAUCAUAUGCUUGAUCCUAUUUUCAUACAUCGAAAAUAAAGAAAUAAAACAUUCUUUCAUUUAGAAACACACAUAUAUAUAUAUUCAUAGAUUCAAAAAUAAGCAAAGUGUGUGAGAUUCUACUUACCUCCAUUCGAUUUCACCACUUAGUUUUUCUCCUAAAAUAAUUAAUGGCCUAUCCAAGAUCAUUUCAACAGAUCAGAAUUUAAUCAACCCUUUUUUAGACCAUUUAUACAAAAAUCAACUAAGUUACACAAGGGUUAAUUUAACUAAUUAAUACUGGCAGCUUGACCUAUUUUCAUUAAAAUAGUCAUAUCUCAAUAUAUCCAAAUCAAAAUUAUGAUCUCUUUAAUGCGUUAAAAACUAGACUUGAUAAACUUUCUAACCAUAUAUGGCACACCUUGUAAUUCCUUGUAGAUUAGUUAUAACAAUUUUUGAAAUCCAUGUCAUAUACUAUUGUCAAACAGACUGUAUACCUUUUAAUAAAAAUUAUAUAUUUAUUCACAGGAAACUCCAAAUCCAAUUCCGCUUAUUUCAUUGGAAAGUAGACUCAAUAAGCUUUCCAAACAUAUAUGGCUUAAUAUGUAAAUCCUUGUAUACAAAUUAAAAAGAAUUUCGUAAUUCAACCCUGAUGUUGUUAUCUUACAACCUGCAUAUCCUUAAGUUAAAAUUAGACAACUCUUCAUAGAAAACUCGGAUUUAACUUUCGUUUAUUUCAUUAGAAACUAUAUUCAACAUGCUUUCCAAUGAUAUAUAAUAAUCACAGCAAUAAUCUAUCCAUUAAUACAAAAUUCUAUUUUAAUUCAUUAUUACAGAUCAUAAUAUCUCAUCUAAAAAUAGAAUUUAUCCUUCAAUAUCUAAAAAUUCAAAUCCUUAUUUUCAGCCUUCAAACUCCAUUCAAUAAUCAUCAAUAAAUUUUAAAAACAUGAAAUAAAUAAAGCCUAGUAAUUUACUCAAAUAGAUCAUGAAGAUUAAUGAAAGAUUUUAUGAUUUUUCUUGGUUUUACUCUCAAAACUUCAACUCCAAAUAAUAGCAAUCAACUUGAUAUUUCUUUUUAAAUAAAAAGAAGGUAUGUACUCAUCUUUAAGGGAUUAACUUGAUUGUAGCCUCUGAUUAUGAAUCUCUAACUUGAUUUUUCAUAUUCUCUGACCCUAAGAAAGAUGAUGAAGAAGAACUCUAUUUUUUUUUUAUUUCACGAUAGUUAAGUUUUUUUUAUUUAAUAUUUCAGUCUUUUUUUUUAUUAAAUAAUAUCUUAAUAAACUGAUGGACUUUAAUAUUAAUCUAACCCAAUUAUUAUUUAGACUAAAGUAUUACAGAAAUGUAUGCUUUUUCUUAAUGACACUUUUAUUUUAGUUUUUCAAGUUAAUUACAAUAAAAAGUGAGCAUGUAAUUUGUAACUUAGAUUCUUUUAGUAUUAUCUAGUAAGUUAACCCAUCCUAAGUUUAGUUUGUCUAGCUAGGUAGGUUAAUGAAUUUGAAUAGCUAAGUAGAAAUGAUCAAAUAAAGAGGAAAUUAAUCCAAGUAACUAGAAAGAGACAGAGAGAGUGAUAUUUUGGCAGGUAGAGUCCAAAGUUGGAAUUAUGCUUUUGGGCUGAGGCAGAGAUAGGGUGAAUUGAUUCUGAUCUGAUGUCUCGAGGUGCAAACAAGAAACAAAAAAAAAAAAAAAAAAAACCCAAGGGCUGGCUGGUUGUGGAGGGAGCAUCGAUAGUCGACAGGGAAGUCACUCUCAAGAAGACAAAGACCUGACGCCCCAAACUUCCAUUGCCAAAACCAAGAAAGUUGUACAGUUAAUAGUCCCUGUCAGUCAAGCCAUCAAUACCUGCAUGCCUUCUCUGCUAUCAUGUUUACAAACUGAAAACUAACUACUGAAAAGAAUGAAUAUUGAAUGAAGAAGAGUAGUAUUGUCUUCUCCAUCUUCUCUUUUAGCAUGUAUAAGUUAACUUUUUGGUCUGGCUGCAAUUAAGGGAAAGGACUGUAUUUUAUCUGUAUGUAUGUCAACAUGUUGUCUUAAGGAGUAAUGUUGGCGAUGGCUGAAGACAUUCCGAUCGAGAAAGCGACAAAUGCAAAGAUCCUUCUAUCUCUCUCUUUUCUCUCAUUGGAUUAAAAAGCCUUUUUUUUUUUCACUCACACACUGACACACUCUCUAUGUACAAGUACAUAGGGAGACUUUUUUCAUCCACUUACUAUGUGGAGUAAUAAAUUGUUGCAAAAUAAUUGAAUUGGAAAUCCGUAAAUGAAAGUGAUUCUUUUGUCUGUGACUAUCGAUCUGUUUCCGUGCCUGGUAGCUGUAACUGUAAACAAAGGUCUUCAUUCUCACAUACCUUAAUUUUCAAUAAAAGAUAACUAAUAAAAAAAAUUCAUAGCUUUGAUUAUUCUUGAUUAUUCCAGGAGGCAAAAUCAAUUGAGAACAACUCUCAAACUAAAGAAAUUAAGGUCGUAAUGGGUGUGACAAUUGUGUUAUAGUCCAAGAAAUGUUGCAUUCUUUUAUGAGGAAGAAAGGGAAAAUGGGGCAAAUGGCCAUCAAGUUGGAUCUUGAGAAGGCUUAUGACCGUUUGUAAUGGAGCUUUAUGAGGAAAGUCCUAACUUUCUUUAAUAUUCCCCAACCUCUUAUAACUCUUAUUAUGAGCUGUAUUUCCUCCUCAACUAUUUCGAUUAUGUUGAAUGGAGGUUUGCUCAAAAAACUGGCGCCUUCUAGAGUUUUAAGACAAGGGAGCCGUUUAUCCCCCCACUUGUAUAUAAUGUGCAUGGAAUUUUUGGGCUUUCACAUUCUUGAAUCAUGUGAUGAGAAGAAAUGGAUGGCUAGUAAAACUUCCAGAAAUGGUCCAACUCUCUCGCACAUUUUAUUUGCGGAUGAUGUCAUAUUAUUUGGUAGGGCGGAUAGUAAGACUCCAGGGGCUAUGAGAGAGGUGCUGACAAAUUUUUGCACGGAAUCGAGGCAAAGCAUUAACCUUGAAAAAUCGUGGGUCUACUUUUCACCAAACACUAACCAGGAUCAAAGGCAUAUCAUUGGCACUGUAUUGGGAAUCAAAGAAACAAAUAAUCCUGGGAAGUAUUUGGGAUUUCCUCUAAAUAAGAGCAGAGUUACCAAAUGGGAUUACUCUUUCAUAGUGGAAAAGAUCCGAAGGAAGUUAGCUGGGUGGAAAGUGAACCUCCUCUCAACUGCAGGACGGCUGACCUUGAUUAAAUCGGUUACCGAAUCCAUUCCCACGUAUUUUAUGCAAUGUCGAAAGCUCCCAGCUAGCAUUUGCAAUGAGUUGGAUCGUACCAACAAAAACUUUCUUUGGGGUGACAUGGAACAAAGGAAAAGAGUACACCUCUUAAUUUGGAGUGUAGUUACUUUAAGCAAACAUGAGGGUGGUUUAGGGUUGAAAGAGGCUAGGGUUUAGAGCCAAGCACAACUAACAAAACUUGCUUGGAGAUUCAUGCAUCAAAGCGAAUCUCUAUGGGUUCAAACGUUGAAAGCAAAAUACUUAAACCAGAGAAGCCAAGGGAUAGAUCCAGCUACAGCAUCAGUGACUUUGGAAAGCUAUGAAAUGGUCUGGGCCUAUUGUAGAAAAAGGGCUUGGUUGGAUCGUAUGAGAUGGGACCUUUACGAGGUUUUGGCAUGAUAAUUGGACCGGGAUUGGUAGCAUUAGGUCCAUGAUCCAAGGACCAUUAAACAAGCAUGAUAGCAAUGUGGACGUUAGACAAGUUCUGACUAGUCUACAGUGCCAACAUGACGCCACCAUCUCGUUCAUCCUCCCUCAAAUGGUUAUGGAGACCAUUAGAGCAAUGCCAAUGCAACUUUGUGGUCAGGAGACUGAUUUCUCCUGUAGGACAGCCUCUGAUACAGACUCGUUCACCCUUAAAUCUGCUUACAAACUUGUGAAAGGAGACUCAAAAAAACCAACUAAUGUCAAAUGGGCAUGGUUUUGGAAACUCAAAUUCCUUCCGAAACUCAAAAUUUUCAUUUGGGAAUGUAUGUACGAAAUUUUGCCUACUAAAACGUUCUUAAGGAAAAGAGGCUUGAAUAUACAAGAAGAAUGUGUGUGGUGCAACUGUGAACCAGAGGAUAUCCAGCACCUCUUCAAGGACUGUCAAAUGUGUCAAAAGUUAAUGGGUGAAUUAACAAGAUGUCUUAAAUCUCCAUUCUCCCCAAAUCAGUUUUAAGGAGUGGAUCAAAAGAAAUGUUAAUUGCAAGAACAGAUCAAGCCUUCAUGGUAUCCCAUGGGGCCUGAUGUUCAUGCACAUUUUGUGGGAGAUCUUGCUUGAAAGGAACCAUCGUGUCUUUAAGGGUCAGAGAGUUGAGGAUAACAUCGUUCGAAGAGCGAACGAAAGAGUGGCCGAAUACUUUGCCAUGAACCAAAAACCUAUAAGAGCAAACAUGUCUUCUUUUAUUCCUAUUCGUUGGAAUCCACCUGAUGCAGGCUGGUACAAACUCAAUACAGAUGGUUCAUCGAUGGGAAACCCAGGCAAAGCUGGAGCUGGAGCUGUCAUCCGUAACCAUGAAGGAAAAUGGGUCGUUGGGUCAUCUAGAUUUAUUGGAGUUGCCACGAACAUUCUUGCUGAGCUGUGGGCUCUAAGGGAUGGACUGUUGUUGGCUCAACAUCUCAAUAUUAAGAAACUUGAUAUUGACCUGGAUGCUUCUGUUAUCAUUUCUAUGAUUAAAAGUCAAUCUCCUCCUAAUCCACUUCUACUGCCAUUGAUCUCUGAUUGCCAGAAUCUUAUAGAUGCCUUUAACCAACAGCGGAUGAAACAUGUUUUCAGGGAAGGCAAUAGAUGUGAUGAUGCUCUCGCGUGUUUUGGAAGUAGAACCUUAUGUAAUAGUAUGAUGUGUAAUGAGGUCUGUUAUAUUAAGUUUCAAGAACCUCCCUCUUUUGUUCAUUCACUGCUGCAGGAGGAUGUAGCUGACUUUGUCGUGUUUCGUAUUAUUUAUUAAGUUAUGAUAGUUCCGUCUUCACACCCAAAAAAAAAAAAAAAAAAAGAAAUUAAGGAAUUAGACAAAAUUGAUGUUUGUGUGAUACUUACGAUAGUGCAAUAUAGGUUCAAUUUGUGCGAAUUAAACAACAUUAAAUUAAUUUUUUUGUACCGACACCGCAUCCAACCCACGGUCUUUUUUAGAUGACAAGAUAAUAUACCUCAAGUCAAAAUUACUUGGUUAUUAUUUUAAGUGAAGAAGUUAAUUACUUCUAUAUAUGAUUCCAUGCAUAUGCAUGCCUCCCCUUAUUUUCUCUCUCAUAAAGCUGUUGGUUGCAUCCAUCGUGCAUGUGGCUGUUAGCAUUAUACUAGCUGGUCUAGUUGAGAAAUUAAAUUAGAAUAGAAUUGAAGAUGCAGAUGGAGAAGGAGAAAUUCAUAUCAGGGAAUGAAAAUGAAUCCCCGCCCCGGUGGUGCCGCCUUGGAGAAGGAAACGGGCUACAGAAAUGGCAACACAUAAUGAUAUUACACAAUUCAAGCAAAAUGAGGAGAUACAUGCAAACACCAUGAGAGGUGUUGGAGGUGUCAGUCAUACCAAUUGCUGAGGGCUGAGGACUGAGCACUGAGGACUGAGGGUCGCCCGUUCGGCCAUUUCUUAAUGCUGGGUGGUUUUUUUUUUUUUUUUUCUUUUAUGCCUACAAGGUAAAAUUUAUAGCAUAGAACUUUAACCCUCACUUACUCCUUCCUCCUUAUAGUCCGUCAUUUUCAGUCUCCGCUCCUUCAACUUCAAUUCAACUCGAGUUUUUCACUAUUACGACCAAAUUUUUGCAACUGGUCACACCAAUUAAGUUAAUAAAUUUAUUCAAAAAAAAAAAAAACAAAAACAAAAACAAAACAAAAGAAAGAUAUCUGCAGAUCACUCACUUAGGUUACAGGCCGAACAAAACCCAAUCCAGCCCUACCAUUGGGCCUUAAUUGGAAAAUCAAUCCCAAUUCUUAAGCCUGCCUCGGAACGCUCAGGAGUAAGAAGUAAUGUAACUUUGAUCCAGGCUGGGGGAUGGGGGUGGGGGUAACAAAAUUUCUAUGUCCAUGAUCCAUCCCAAAAGAUUCAAACCGCGCCAGCUUAAGCCAAUGCUUGGUGUUAACAGACAGUUCUUGACGAAGACCUUAUUUACCCCUCUGCUUCAGCACUUUUAACUGGUUGUGCUUGUGCCCUUCCGAUUUCUAUCAAUUCUCCCUGAUUAUCAACAUAGUAAAGUUUCUUUCACUUUUGCUUAUGUUACUUAACCCAUUAACCCAAAAAAAAAAAAAAAAUACACCUCGUCCAUAAAUUAUGCCAUCCCACAACCAAUUACUGUUUGAGAACUUAAGAGGGUUUAGGAUCACGAAAAAUCUAACCCUUCAGGUUUAGGCCAUAAAUUCAAUUGCAAUAGCAAACACGUCAAUUUAGCAUAAAUAUUGUUUCAUCUAUAUAACCAGCUUUUAGAGGACCUGUUUCAGUUUAUAAAUAACCCUUUCAAAUCCACAGAAACAACAACAAACUUCUCAAAGGUGUUUUCUCUAAUAUCCAGACAAUGUUAUUUCUAUUAUUUACUAAUAUAGCGAUCAAACAUGACAUCGUGGCAGACCCUUAAUUCAUUGCAUAUUUCUGGGUCCACGAGCGGGCAGUGCUCUCAUAUUUAGCUCUAUCAGUCUUGUACAUGUGAGCAAUCUCAGGCACCAGAGGGUCAUCGGGAUUUGGGUCUGUAAGAAGUGAGCAUAUUGACAGAAGAACCUACAAAACAGACAGUUACAGCUAAUUAAAAGGUUAUGCAUGUGAGAAUAUAAUAAUAUUCAAGGGCUUUGUUAGGAUUGGAAUUAUGUUAAUCAAUGAUGAACAUGGUGUCCAUCUAUGAUUCAUGCAGAUUACAUAAUGGGAAUUAUAUUAAGUGUAUUACCUUGGAUAUGGUAAGGGCAGGGCUCCACUGCUCCUUGAGAAUGUCAAGACAGAUGCUUCCAUUGCUGUUGAUGUUAGGAUGGAAAACCUUUGUACGGAAAGAAACCUUUACAGAAGAUAAUUACUACAAUCAGGUAAAAUAGAAUCCUAAGAAUCACCUACUUUUGCAUAUAAUAGAAUAUAUAUAUAUAUAUAUAUAUAUAUAUCUCACAAGGAAAUACCAUAAAUUCAGCUUAAGAUAGAAAAAGUAUAACUUCUGCCAAAAUAAGCAGACAUGGCAGGUAAUAGACUACAUUUUUAAGUAACAAGAGCACAGGCACAUAGAAGACAGCAACAAAUUCCAACAAAGAAAAAAAAAAAAGCUAGCUAAUACAUGUUCAAGACAUUCGUUUAAACUCUUAAUUAAACCAAUGUUACAAAAAUAUGGACUAUUUUAGCAUACUAAAAAGAAAUCCACUCCCCUUUAUAAUCAGAAGCAGUGUUCUUUUUUCUCUGUAUUCUCUGUUUGUUAAAGCUGCUAUCUCAGAAAAGAUUUAAAUCUCUUUCAUGUGAUAAUAACACAAAAUCUAGCUUUAGCCCAACCACCAACCAUCCAAACCAAAUGAUACUGAUGUUUCAAUUAUAUAUAAAAUAAAACAGAUCUGAUUAGCAAGAGAAGAAGAGAAACAUUUCCAAGCAUUCCAUGACAUGUGCACAAGAGAUUUCUUGAUAGGCAGUCAAUCAGACACAUAAUAGUUGGAUGAAAUACAUGCUUUUUUUUUUUUUUUACCUUAGGUGGCUUGAACGGAUAGUCUGGGGGGAAGUGAAUGGCCACAAGGAAGACUCCUCCAGCAAAAGGACUGUCUGAUGGGCCCAUGAUUGUUGCUUGCCAGUGGAACAUAUCAUCAGCAACGGGGCCUGUAUACAUGCAGUAUUAUUUUAAAGAAACAAUUAAAUUAUUUUUCAUGAAAAGGUGCAAUCUGACCAUGUUCUCUAUUCCAUAUAUUGGCCAUUCUAAGGGGUUUUUGGAAAUAUUAAUCAAAACCCUGUCAGUAUCUAAACACAAUAACCAGUUGUCCCGUUCAUGGCAAAAACAGAUUACAGCUAACAACUUGUGGUAUUACUACUUGCCACUAAAGACUUACACCAUCUUGAAUUACCAACACCAAGAGAUUCAGUUAAACAAUCAACAACAAUAUAUAAUGGAUGAAGCAGAAAAUAAUCAUAUAGAUCGUAGGAACAUGAAUCACUAGGUUUAAUUAAUUCCACCAAAUUCAUAAUUGACUUAAAAGUAAAGAAAUUUAAUGAAUAAAGGAAACAAACCGGCACUGCAUGAAGCAGGAGGGUCCUUCUGCAGAUCCUUCAACUCCUUGUUAAUCCGCUUUGAAGCCAUUCAAAAACUCUCUAAAGUCUUCAACAAACAAUUGGAUGAUAACUGCAUUAAAAUCAUAUAUGAAAAAAUGCAAUAAUAAAGAAUCUAAAUUAAUAGUAACCCAACUAUCCUUUUCCAUUAAUAAAUUAUUUUAAUAGUCAACCGUGGAACAACAAAUAUUACAAAAUUUUUAAUUUUAUAUAAGAAAAACUCAAAGGUCUAAAAUUUUGAUGGAUUCAACAUAGUAUAAUACUACAAUUUAUUUAUGUGGAGCGGAGCUAAGUGACUCUAUUAAGAGCAAUUAAUGAUCUUUUUCCAGAUUUUCUAGGCAAGCAAACAAAGGCAUGGACAACAUAUAUUAUCAACAUAAAAAAAAAAAAAAAAACAGAGAUUAAAUUAAUAACAUAUAUUUGUAUUUUAUUUUAAAAAUUAAAAAAAAAAAAGAGAAAGAGAGAUGAAAACACCGAUCCAUCACCAAAAACAUAAUCGGAUUAAAAAAAUAGGGGAUAAAAUCAUAUUCUUGGGAAUCAAAAGCGAAGCAAAUAGUAGUAAAUCAAAAUGUAAAAAAUCUAAAAUAAGAAUAAAAAAGAAAAGAAUUUGGUGUAAAAAUUGAAUCGGAAAAAGAAAAAUCGAUGAAAAAGGAGAAAAGAGAGGUACCUGAAGGGGUGGAAAUGAGUGGAUUAGGGUAUGAAGCUAAAGAAGAAAAUAUUUGUGAAGUAAAAAAAUUCGGGGCUUUGGAUUUGAUAUUUAUUAUGAUUUAUAGAGAGAGAGAGAGAGAGAGAGGCGUUGGUGGCAGUGAUUCUCUGCCACGCGGCCCUCUUUAGUAUUUACUUGCCGCCUUCUUAUUCGCUCUUGUUUUUCUAAUUUCCAAAGGUGUCGGACGGCCUGAUCCGGGUGGUAUCGAGUCCAAUCCAAACAUGUUAUCAGCACUUUACGCGUUUAUAUUGGAGCGCAACUCAAUCCAAAUGUCGAGUCUAAGUAAAUCCAGAUAACUAAAGGAUAAAGCCCAAUUCUUUCAGGUCGACCCAAAUAGAUAUAUUCUUUAAAAAAUUAUAUUUUUAAUAUUUUAUUAAUUUUAAAAUACGAAUAAUUUAACAUAUAUAUUUUAAUAUUUAUAAUAUAAUAUUUCAUAUAUAUAUAUAUAUAUAAAAUAGCAAACUAGAGCUGUUGAUGAGUAUUUAGCUAGUAAAUUAAAAACUUAAUAUUGGGAGUUUGAGUAGGCCAAAAGAGGUGGUGCAUGUAUAUAUAUAUAUAACCUUGAGUUAUGUGUUCCGGAAAAGAGAUAAAGGAGAGUAAAUAAGCCUUUACCCCCCUUCCCCUUCACCCUCUAUAGUAGCCUAUUAUCCAAUACAAUAGAAAAGAGUAUUCUAUAUAGUGUCUUUUUUCUUGUCUUGGUUUUAGCUACUUUUCUCUUUAAGAAACUACCAUAGAGUUAAGGUGAAGUCCCUACUCUAUUCCUUGUCAGGAAUAGGGGACUUCCAAGUACGAGUUUAACAGAUAGUUAUGGAGUAGUCCCUAUUCUAUUCCGGACCUUUAAGAGUAGCCGGUCCGGAAUAGGGGACUACCUUUACGACUACGAGUUUAACUUCAGAGAAUAGCAGUUAUAGUAGGUAUCGUGCAUUCUAUACCUUUUAGAUACUGUUUAAAACGAGGAAUCUCCUUCCCCCCUCCUUUUCUAGACAGCUAUCGUUAUCGCUUUUGCUUUCGGAACCCUGCGUUCCCCGAUGGAACAGGGGAACUCCGGAUAGACCCCUUCCUAGACUCGAAAGAGACUAGAAGGAAUUCGUUCUUGCUUGACGGACCCCUGCGUUCACCUUCGGUUCUCUCCGGACGGACCCCUUCGGCGGACCCCCUGCGGGGCUAACCCGUACCAGUCCUAUCAAACGAGACUGAAAAACAAGUUAUUGUCUCUAAUUACAUAAGUGACUAAUGAACCUACUAGUAGCGGAAUCAGCUAAUCGAUAAGUGAAAGAGUCUUUAUUCAAUAAACUCAAAAGCACCCUUCUCACUCUUCUAUAUUAGCUGCUAGCUUAAAGGCUCAAGCUACUAUUAGACAAGACGGCAUUAGUUGGGGUAUGACAUCAGGAGAGCUUUGACUUGGGAUGGGUUCGACCCAUCUGUUUCAUAUACCCGUCAGGUAAAUCCUGACACGCAUGACCGAAACGACGCCGGCUCCAUACUGGAAACAUUACUAUCUUGUUCAGCAUAAUAUAAUGGUGAGUUAUGGUUUUUAGUCGAAGAAGAGGAGUCCAGGAAAGGAAACAAAGAAAAGGGAAGCUACAAUCGUGAGAGUGCCAUGCCCAUGACCCUCUCACUCGAAAGACGAGGUUUACGGCUGUCUUAUCUCUCUUCCCUCCCUACCAAUUAGUAGUCCGGGAGAGAAGAGAGGACAGCCUAAAGCCUCUACUCGUUACUGUGCCAUUUCGAUGGCCCAGUAACUCCUUUUUCGCUCUUUCCUGUCCUCUCCUCGCUCCUGUGCCAUUUUGAUGGCCCAUGAGCUCCUCUUCUGGACUCGUUAGAGAGGUUCCCUUGCCCCAAGGAACCCUCUCUAACUCCAUACUCGUUCUUUUGCUGAGCAAAAGAGUUCCAGGUGGUGAGGUAGAGUGAGGGAUUGCCCUCGCCCUUCGGGCUCCUUGAGUUAUGUGUUCCGGGGAAGGGGUAAAGGAGAGUAAAUAAGCUUUUAUCUCCCUUCCCCGGAACACAUAACUCAAGGUCCUCGUAGAACGAGAGCAAUCCCUCACUUUACACCCUCUAUAGUAGCUAUUAUCCAAUACAAUAGAAAAGAGUAUUCUAUAUAGUGUCUUUUUUCUUGUCUUGGCUUUUAGCUACUAAACCCUUUAAGAAAAAACCAUAGAGCUCUGCUUCGGUCCACCACCUGGGGGAUUAAAAAGGGGGUUUUUUUUAGUUUUUUCAGUUGUUUUCUUAGUUCUCUAAGGUAGUCCUGCUACGGUUCCAUAGAGAUCUUAUAAAGACAACCCGAGAAGUUAGAAAGAGGAAGACAUAAACUAGAAGGAGAAAGCCGAAGGAAAAAACAACUAGGAAGGAAAGCCUUAAAGAUACUAAUAGCUUUUUAAGGUGUUUCUUCAUCCUCCCCCCGAGGGGGAGAGAGGGGGUAACGUCCUUUUCAAGCUAUUCGAUUCGUCAAGGGUAGUCCCCUAUUCCGGACCGUCUACCUUUUAGGUCCGGAAUAGAGUAGGGACUACUCCUCUCUUAUUCCCAAGUCCUCUAUUCCUUCCCGGCCCACAAUAAAGGGAAGGAAUAGAAAAAGGACUUGACCGCUUUGUUAUUCCUGGCUUUCUUUCGAUCGGUUGUUGUCUUUUCUUUCCCUUCUGUCUUGUCUUCUCUUGCCUUCCUAAAGUCCCAAACGAAAAAACCCCAAUCCAAAUCCCAAUUCCCAGUAUGGAGCCACCUUCAUUCACCCCGGCAUGCCCACUUCCUUAGCUUCGUACUCUUUUUUUAAGUUUAAGGGAUAGUUGCCACCUCAACUAUCGAGCUACCUACCCAUCUCAGCUAGCUAAGCCUUCCGGUCCAUAGGUAAACGUCCGCCUUCUUGUAUUUCCAGCCGAGUCUGAAAGUCGUAUCUUGUUUCUUAAUUGAGUGACCUUCCUGAUUCUAAAGUCCUACUAUCAAACGUUACUCCCACUCAGAAUGGCUACUGGACAAGGAUGGGAAAGCAACUUCCCAGGAACUUGACUCAUCCAAAUGAGACUUGAUCCCUACCUCUAUAAGUCGGAUUCUAAGCGCUACCCCCUGCAUAGGUAGUACUCCCUUCCUGUUUCCUUAUCUUCUUCUCGGUCCCGGUAUAGAACGGAAACAAAGCCAAAUACGUCUUAACCCAUCUAACAAGCACUUAUAGAGCACCGCAGAUCCCUUUCUUCUUGUUAGCCCCGGAGUUAUAAGAAACUUGGGGGUAUCUCAAGUAAAAUAGAUCGAUCCCGGAUCUAACACAAUUGCUUAAGAUCCAAGGGUUAUGUCGAUAUCUAGCGUGGCAUGGUGCGUACCGUCGUGAGAGUGAGUUCAAUCUUGUGUGUAAAUGAAUGAAAGUCAAGGUCUCCUAUUCUAUUUCGAUUUGACUUUCUACGGUGGCGUCAGAGGUUCGGUGAGUGGCAUUGCCCUCCUUAGCUUCUUCGUCAUACCGACCUGACGCCUGUUCGUUACGAAAACAAGUGCUUAGCCGACCUGAUACCUUUUAUCCAGAGUGUGAAAACCACUCUCAACUAUGAAUAGGACUCUUAAUAGGCUUUACUUAAUAACGAGUAGGUUUCCUUCCCGGAAAAAGACCUAACUUUACGUAACCCGGACAUUAAAUCCCUGUACUUCUAACCCAGAGCUUCUUGCUUGAACGCUUGCUUGAAAGAAUAAGGUGUUUGAUCCUGAAAUGCCGCACCCUUAUUCGCAAUAGCCUCGUCAUGCCCAGCGGAUCCAAUAGAAAAGCGGUGACCUUUUUUUGCUUUGGGAACUGAAUAAUCGAUUUCUGGGGCCUACCUUUACCACCUGUAGUCACAUCACCUAGGGCACAUAAAUAAUUGCAUGACCCGGAGAGGAGACCCACGCUAGCUCCUUGACUAAGUACCGCCCCGAUCCGACCUGUACAACUACCUUUCCAAACCCUGACCUGGGCAACCAGAGCGCCCACCUAUAUUAAACUAAAAAGUACAUGCCACCACCAGAACAUCUUAUACUUUAAGUCUGUUUUGUAGUAGUCUAAUGUUCAGAGGUUUCCGACGUACCCAGAAGUCAGGAUGUAUUCCUCUCAUCUUUCUUCUGUCUCACAGCGGAAGGAUUGUCGAUAGGCGGACGGUUAACCCCGGCAUCAACUUUAGAACGCUUUAAUCCCUCAGGAGUCUCAGGUGUGAUCAGAGGUUCCGAUGUUUUCUAGUACUAAAAAUAGAAUCCUUACUGGAAAUGUUCGAACGUCACUUAUGAAAUUAUGAGGAUUGAGAUAAUAAAAAAGUUAAAGUAGAAGCUAGAACCUAAAAGCUAUCUAGUUUCAUGGUAUCUAUCUUAAGGGUUUAUAAGAGAAACCUACGAGUUUACUAAUUAUUAAAUGCACGAUAUACCUCUAUUAUUACUCUUUUCUUGAUUUACUAGAAGUGUAGUCUCCCCCUCCUAGACUACCAGAACUGAAAGAUAUAUUUAGCUAGUAAAUUAAAAACUUAAUGUUGGGGGUUUGAGUAGGCCAAAAGAGGUGGUGCAUGUGUGUGUAUAUAUAUAUAUAUAUAUAAAUAUAUAUAUACAUAUAUGUGGAUAUAUAUACAUAUAUAUAUUUUGUUUCAUUAAGCAACCUCCCCUCCUUUGUACCGUCAAAUAGAACCCAUCAAAUGUUGGAUGGUUCAAACUUAAUACUGAUUGCUCUUCCAUUGGUAACCCUGGUAAAGCAGGGGCGGCGCUAUUAUCAGAGGCCAUAAUGGAUCCUGGAUUGCUAGCUCACUCAGGUACAUUGGUAGAGCAACAAGUGUUGAAGCUGAAUUCUGGGCACUCAGGGAUGGUUUAUCACUAGCUAUCUUCAAGCAUAUUAAAUACCCUGAAAUCGAACUGGAUGCCAAGGUUGCUAUAGGCCUCAUCACUGCCCCUGACUCACACACUAGCCAUGUUCUGGAUCCUCUUAUUGUUGCCUGCAUAACACUGUUUAACCAACUACCACAGAGGAAGGUUGCUCGUAUCUUUCGUGAAGCAAACAAAUGUGCGGACGCUUUGGCAAGGAAAGGCAGUGAAGCAGCCUAGAGUAUUGGGAACUUUUGCAACUUUUGUAACAUCGCAAAUGACAUAAACCCUUAUUUUGUCAUGCAUGUUGAACCGCCCAGCUUUCUGCAGCCCUUAAUCAUGGCUAUUAUUGCUGCAACUACUAUGUACCGUUCUCUUUAUUAAUCUAUCUGCUUUCCUAAACUGACCAAAAAAAAAAACGCAGAAGUUUCUUACUUUAUCUGUAACUUCCUUGAAGGUUAACUUAUAUGUCUAUUAAUUAUUUUUUUUCAGUUUUCUACCAUGAUAAUAUACCCAUUCUGUCAAAGCUAAAGGGUUUUUUUUUUUUUUUUUUUUUCAUUUAAACAAAGAGUAGUUCAUUCUUGACUGUUAUACAUCAUAAUUAGAAUUCGACUUCAUUUUUUUUUUAAUUUUGAACUAUAAGUCAAAGAUGCCUCAAGAGAGGAAGGGUUGUUGUGCUAUUCUCCAUAGUGUUUUCUACAUGAAUUGCUCCCUAAUUUCUUCCAUGCACAUUGCUAUUCUCCCAGCUUGAUUUUCCCAUGUUUUACAAUUUGACUGAAAUAUUGAAGCUGAUCAGAUGUCAUGAGCACUGCUGCCAAAGUUGCUUGAGAUCAGCUCACCAAUUUACAAGUGCUUGUCCUCGGCAACGUCAGUCUUCAGCCCCUAAACAAGUACUGCAUCAAAUCCAAUUACUCUUAGGUUCUGUGUUCUGUUUGUUUAUUUUUUGCCCCAGAAUCUUGAGUGCCACAGAUCAGAAGUGCUGCCUAGCCAUUUUUUAUUUAACCCAGCUGAGGGACCAUGAAAAAUUUGUUUGGAAGCCACCAUGCACCAGGCGCGCGUGAAUGCUUGCUUGUUAAUUUGUCACAGCACCUUGUUAGGACUAUUCAUGUUGGUGUUGAACCUUGACCUUACCUCUCUGUCUAGCAGUGAAGGGUUGGUCCUUACUACAUUGCUGUCAACACAAUGCUCUUCAGCUUUAAGAAAAUGCAAUUAUAUAUAUGAGGUUGUGAGAUGUGCUAUGAAACUUCCAAUGUUUUUUUACCUUUUGACACUUCUUUUUGUUAUCGCUCAACCUUCUUUCUUCAUAAUCUCCUUUCCUUUGCAUCUAUUUAAUCUAGAGCCAUCUACUUUUUUAAACUUUAUGCUAAAAAAAAAUGACGUUAUAUGUGGGACUGAGGGAGUCCAUAUAAUAAUAAGGUCUGUAUAUAUCUAUGAACCGAUGAAGAUGGAAUCUAUGUUCAGCAGAAGAUGUUAAUUUGGUUUAUAUAUACACCUAAUCUAACCCUUUGAUGGAUGGAUGAAUGAUGAAUUGAUGAUGAUAAUAGCGUUACUAUUUAAGGUGGCUGACGUAUUUGUCAUGUUGUGGGAAAAGUCAGCGCAGAUAAUUUAUAGUUAGUGUGCAACCACAACAAUGGCCUGGGAAUGGAACAAACCGUCAUGAAACAAAAGACGUGGUGGGUUCACCAUAAAUCUUGGUUUCUAAGCACUUCAGUCUAACAUCAAACUACACAAUCCAACCCCACACUCUCCCUCUUUUUUCUCUGACUUCUAUUCUUCUUCUUCUUCCAUCUUCCUUAAUUUUAUCUGUCUCUUUUGUCUCCCUUCACAACUCAGAUUGUUUUGUUUGUUUGACAUCAAUUUAGAUCUCUUAUUUUCCUAUCUGGAGUUGGCUUUUCUUGUUUGCUAGCUGUUGGGACUUGGGAGCUGAACUCUUCUUUAUUCUCUAGUUGGUUGAAUUCCAGCCUUUUCCGUUUGGGUUUUGGUAGCAGAAGGCUGAAAAGGAUCCUGGUUUGCUUUUGAAGUCCCUACUUCUUCCAAGUGAGUGCUUCUGCUUUCUUUUUUUUUUUUUUGCCUUUCCUAUUCUUUUUGGAAUAGAAUUAUUUUUGUUUUUGUUUGUUUUUUUUUUUUUUUUUCUUGAGAUCAAUCAAUCCUACUGCUUUUUGUCCUGUAAUUAAUCAUGGGAUCAUUGACUGCCAUCCAGUUGGUCUUUCAUUUUCUUGUUAACCAAUCAUAUUUGAUGCUAUAUGUCUGAGGCCGAGGCUGCAUUUUUACUCGAUUUAUUGCUCAGCCAUGAGCCAUAGAUGAAGAGCUGUUGAUAGCUCAUCAAAUAUCUGAUCUCUGAUCUCUGAUCUCAAGUUGGGCUUGUACCAUAUCAAAUAUAUGUUGUAGCUGCUUUAUAUCCUGGAUUAUUGAUAUUGUCAGGGAUCAGAACUUACUCCGUAUUUUCUACAAUGAGAUGGCUUGAGUAAAUUUUAAUAUUUUGUACUUGUGUGGGCAGGCUAAUAUUUAGCCGGUCUCCUGUGUCGAACUGAUAGUUGGAAAUGGGAGGUGCAGCGGGAAAGGGUGAAUCAUCUGAAAUGAUGUGGGUAGCAGAAACAAAACUAGAAGCUAAAAUGGUUGAAGCUAUGCAGCGAAGGGCAUCUGAAGGAACUGCAAUGAAAUCCUUCAACAGCAUAAUCUUAAAAUUCCCUAAAAUUGAUGAGAGCUUAAGGAAGUGCAAAGGUAUUUUUGAGCAGUUUGGUAAGUAUAUUCCCUUUUUAUCCCUUUUAUAUAAGUGUUGUACAAUUAGAGAUGAGUAUUCCUAAUGAUCAUUUCAUGACCCUAAACAUGAAUUUGUUAAUCCCCUGUAGAAAUACGCAUUGCAUUUCUGUGUCUGAACUGAGACAUAUGUAUGGUUAUUGCAGUGAAUCAAUUAAGUUUUAUGUUGAAAUCUUCAUCCAAUGAUUGUUUAUUUAUGCAUAAUAUUUUGAGAGGCAUGUUUCCAUUGCGUUUCUUUGUAGAUGAGGAUUCAAAUGGUUCAAUUGACCAUGAAGAGCUGAAAAAAUGUUUCCACAAGCUUGAAGUUUCUUUCACAGAGGAGGAGAUAAAUGAUCUGUUUAAGGCAUGCGAUAUCAAUGAGGAUAGGGGAAUAAAAUUCAACGAGUUUAUUGUAGUUCUUUGCCUUGUCUAUCUGCUGAAGGAUAAUGCUACUGCACUUGAAGCUGUAUCCUUAACACAAAUCUUGAUUCACUGUGUUUACGUUUAAGGUCGUGUUUGUUGCAUUUUUCUGAUAGGUAGAAGUCAUUCUCUAAGUGAUAUUUAACUGUCCUGGAAAAUUUACCUUGAUGUGGUGUGUUUCAUAUACCACAUGCCUUUUUGAUGGUGUAAACUGUUUUUUUUUUAAAGGUUAUUUGGCUGUUCCUUUCAUGUGAGAAUUCCCAUGUAUUUAGAGAACAAUCAAUGGCAUUCAUCCUCCUCUCACCAGAAUGCCCUACUACUUGUGAAUUCUGUUUUAAAUGUACCAUGAGUCCUGUUCUGCCGAUUUCAUACAAUAAUUUUUCCAAAACAUUUUCUUGUCAUCCAUCAAUACAAAAAGUACCAUUAUAAGCUUCAAAGGUUCUAGACUCCUGAGAUGAAUCUGGAACUUUGGUGCGAUGGCUUGAAAGUUUAACUACCUAAAAUUAAGAGUCAGAUGUAGCAGGUAUACAUCCCUAUAACACUUAAUAUGAUUGUGUUUGACUUUGUGGGUCUGUUAUCUUGGUCUUCCAUGACAUUGUUAGAAAUCACGAAUGGGAAUGCCAAAUUUGGAGGCCACUUUCGAAACUUUGGUUGAUGCAUUUGUGUUUUUGGACAAGAACAAGGAUGGUUAUGUUAGCAAGAACGAGAUGGUUCAAGCCAUAACUGAAUCCGGGGAGCGUUCAUCUGGACGAAUAGCCAUGAAAAGAUUUGGUCAGCUCUCUCUCUCUCUGUGUAUACCAGAAAGAAAAUGCUUACCCAAACUCAAAUUCACAUGUCAACAUGUGAAUUUUGGUGCUUACUUGCCUAGACAAUUAUGCAGAAAAAUGCAUGUAUAUUUUGCUUAAUGGCAUGCAAGAGGCGCUUGUGUCGGUUUAGAGCAUAGACAUGACAUAUAUACAUAUAUAUAUAUAUAUAUAUUUAUAUGGCUUGGAUUGACAGAAGAAGAUUGUAGUACAGCGUCCAAGAUUCCUUAAUAACUUUGCUGACAUAGAUAGAUUCAUCUCCCAGGAAUGUCCGUUUGUUGAGUUCAUGUUUUACUCCACUUAUAUAAAUAGCAUUAACAAAAGUACUUAGGAAUGGGAGUCAGGCUCAUAGUGUAUUGUGUGAUUUUGCAGAAGAGAUGGACUGGGAUAAAAAUGGAUCGGUGAAUUUCAAGGAAUUUCUUUUUGCAUUUACAAGUUGGGUUGGAAUCGAUGACAUGGAAGACGAUGAAGAAGAGUAAGGGACGAUCUGAAUCAACAUAUAUAUAGCUUUAGCUAUACUUAUCAUGAGUCAUGGCUGGUAGCUAGCUAGCACUCAAGUUCCUACUUGAUCCUGUCUUUUUUUUUUUGUUUUUUUCAAUAAUGAUAUGAAUAUUCAAGUUGAUGUAGAAACAUAUAGGAUAAGAGUGAGUUGUGUGCAUUCCUUUAAAAUCUUCAUUGUAAAUGGUCUAAAAAUAAGAUGAAGGAGGUUGUAUCAUGCUUUGACCAUUAAACAACUCUGGCCUUUCUUGUAGUUUGGUUUUGAGUUUUGAUGAACCAAUAACAGCUUGUUGGCUGUCAUUCCUUGAAUGGAUGUUGAAUCUGCUUCAAAUAAUAUGCCCUGCCGACUAGCUAGAUGUGAAAUUGUGCACAGUAAGAGGUUUGUUUCUCAAAAUUUUUAGAUUCUUAAUUUGCGCAAGAAUUCCAUUUAAGUUUUUAAACAAAUACAUAAAUCAAAACUUUUCCAAUAAGCACAAUGUUUAGUCUGUAAAAUUAUAUUCAGCUUUUUUAUUUAGUCUAAUCAAAACAUGAUGCAUCCGAUCCGAUCCUUUCAUUUUGGCAAAUCCACUACAUGCUCUGCUCCAACAAUACCUAAUGGUAGGCAACACACACACACACAAACAGCUUUUCCUUUAAUAUCACUUUAGAAUUAAAAGGAGAUUGAAGCCAAUUUUCAGAUUCAAAUAAUAAAAUCCCCAAACUAUAUGAUGAUGGAUGAAUGCAGCGAAAGAAAGGGCAAGGAAGAGAGGAAAAGGGAAUAGAACCAGUUGCAGAGGCAGCAAAGCGCAUUUACUAACAAAGGAAAGAAUGCCUUCAAUAACACACACACACACACACACACAUAUACAUAUAUAUAUAUAUAUAUAUAUAUAUAUAUAUAUAUAUAUACACACACACACACACUCAGUACUAAUAUUUGUAAUAUCUAAAAGUGCAAAUCUACAAUUUGAUAACACAAAACACUCCAACCCAUACGACAUUUUAAUAAAAUCACCUGACUUCGCGUUCACCGUAUACAAUCAUACCUUAACUUCCUCACAUAUAUAGGUUCCCUCAUAUCAAAACUGUCAUUUCAAGCUUAAUUAUAAUAUAUGACCUAAUUAUAAUACACGCACAGUUUUAGAGAGCUAUUGCCUGAACCAACAUGCAAAUGCAACCCAUUCCUCACUGUGUGAUACCAUCAUUUAACCUCUCCCAAACACAACACAAACACACUUCAUAUAGACACAAGCAAGUUAGAACUGAAUUAGCACACAACUGUGCCAGUGCCCCGACACCAGUUGGAGGCAUUCACUGACACAGCAAUACCUGCAAUGUCAGGGAACCUGCCUGUCUUAUGGCAGACACUGAGACCCAAGCUCCAAUAGCCCACAUGUAGGGAUCCUUUACCCUCUAGUCUUUGCUCGCUUCAUUCCAAGGCUGUUGUGGAAGGGGGAUACAGAACCAGACAUGGAAGAACCUUCCUCACGAAGUGUACCAUUCAGCAUUGCUAACUCUCGCAGCUGUUGUUUCUUAUAGAAAUCCUGGGACUCAUCCUAUUUUUAAAAAAUAAAAACCAUAUUUACAUGAUACCUAAUAAACACAUAAACUAAUACUAUCACAAGAGAAGGAAAUUUGACUUCACCACAGGCUUGAGCAAAUCUUCAAGUAUCUCCCGUGCCUGCAUUAGGCGAGCAUCAACUAUUUCAAGAGGUAAUUCUGCCUCGACUAGGAUAUGUAGAGGUUCAUUCAGAUGUUCAUACCCAGGUUUUCCUCUCAUCAUUUCUUCCUUCACAAUUUUAAAAGACAACAUUACCACAUUUAUAUCCAUAUAAAGAGUGAGAGAGAGAAUUCUGCAUUCACCAAAAAGUACAGAAAAUUCAAGAUCAGGUAUGCUGCUUCUUUAGAACUAAAUCAAGACCUAAUUCAUUGAAGUUUAUGCAUAUUGGGAACUGCUAAAAUGUUUAAGGCUCCAUGAUUCAUAGGUUUCACCUUCAUCAAAAUCUUUGAACUAUGAUAAGCAAUUUUCCAAAGCUAUAACUACUCAGAAAGAUGUAAAGAAAAGGAUCAUUAUUACCCUAGCUGGAUCCUUAAUACUGCCCCGCCCUCUUAUCAGGACACGGCACUCUGUAUUUGCCUCCACACACUUAAGCGAGUUGCCCCUAGGACCAAGGAGGCGGCCAACAAAAUUGUACUGCAACAUUAAAUUAUUUUAGAUGCUGAAAAAGAAAAUUUCUAAAAUCACUGCUAGGACAGGAGUUCAUUCAUACAUUAGGGUAGUUGUUGACAGGAAUAUCCACUCUGAUUGUUCUCUUAACAAUAAGACCAGAAGAGCUACCCUGAGAACUCAGCCAGUUCUGUGCCGAAGAGGGCUGUACUAAACCUGAAAUCUGCACCAUAAUAUUCCAGGUUUUGUUAAAAAAACCAUAGCAACGGAUUAAUGCAAAUGUCUUCCAUUGUAUGGCAUGGAUAAGAUUAGGGAACAGAAGACCCAUUCUUUAUAAAUGCACCAUGAAUUCCUGAAAGACAUUUCAAGACAAGUAACUUGAACAAAUAAAAAAAAUCAUUCCGACAAAGAAUAUAGUAAAACUGAAAUUCAGGGACUACCAAGACUAAAAGAAGUAACAUAUGAUUUUCCAGAUGAAUUUGGCCCCUACUAACACACGCAAGCAUCAAGUUCUUGGGAUCAGAUGAAACCAUCUAAGCAGCUUCUAUGAUUUCCACAAAUAUAAAACAGGUAGCUGGAAUCAUGGAAACCACUUUGGGGGGAGUAAAAAAUGCCCGUUUAGUUAUUGAAGUCAGCAAUAAAAUACACAGUUCAAAGAAUAGCCCUCUUAUCAGAACUCCUAAUGUGCAAAAUCUCAGACUUGAUCCACAUUUCAGGCUUCCAUCCUAACAGAAACUGCAUUUUAAAACCAUAUAAGAUUAUGACAAACUGUCAUCCCCUGCAUAUCUGAUUUUAUCUUGACAAUAAUUAAGGCCAGAGAAACGAGUUAUAUAAUUAGAAGCAACAGCCUGAAACAUUUUCUAAGCUAAAACUAGUUCUCAGAACUUCUUCAUGUUAGCCUCAGACUGCCUGUAAUAAGAGAAACCACAAUGCAAGCUACAAGUCAAAUAAAGGUUAGGUUAGCAAGAAAUGUAAUAAAAUAUUAAGUCAGCAAUACCUCUAAAAGCAGUAAAAUUAGAUGGUAAAGAGUUAUGUUAAUGGUUAGUAUCCAUACUUCUGAUUGAAACGUCCAUCCGUUCAUAUCGGCUCCUCCAUUUGAAAAUAUUCCUCCAGAAGCCAGGGGGCUAGCUUGUUCAAGCCCACUUUGACCUAAAACUGAUGCAUUCCCCAACAGUGUAGUUACACGCAAAAUUUCUGCUCCAAAAAUGUCAUUUUCAAGAAUAAGAUGUACCAGUUAGUGGUUAAUAAAUCAGUUAGCAGUCACCGCAAAAUGGAGAGACUACACGGAAUGUUAAUUUAGUCAGUUAAAUAUCAACUCUUCCUUCAUAAAAUAAGCAACUCUUCCAGUUGAAUGCAUUCUGGUAUGAAAUGAAAAGAAAGAUGCAGUGAAAUUCUAAUUUGGUUUAUUUAUACACCAAUAAAAGACAUUUUUAUAUUAAUUAAAAAAGAAUUAUUUGACUGAGAAUCUUGCAAAACCAAGGAGGAAUCAAUGCACUGUUAGAAUCUGAAAUCAUACAAGUGAAUACAAAAAAGCACAGGAAGUUGUCAGUUGAGAACCUAACAUUUUUUAUAUAUUAAUUAAAAUUUCAGUAAAUUUUAAAAUAUCUUUUACACUUUUGCAUUUGUCAGUUGAGAACCUAACAUUUUUUAUAUAUUAAUAAUUUUGUUUAAACCCACCAUAGGCUGGCUGCUCCCCAAGAUGAAUACCAGUAGAAUCACUGGCUUUCCCUCUGUACCUCUUUCUUCAUAUCCUUAACUUCCUCCCUCACCAUUAGUGAGGUUCAGAACCUUCCUUUUUCCUCCCUCUUUGUUUCCAUUCUCUUCUUUUCUCUUAGGACUGCACUAGAAACCUUUUCUUUCUUCUUUAUCAUUCCCUUUAUUGCCUCCUAAGAUAUGUCUAAUAAUAUGGUGUGACAUAGAGGAGCUACCGAGGUUCAUGAAAGAUUCAUCCUAUUGGUUUUUGAAACUUAUUUAGAACCAUAGCUUCUGCUGUAUCAUUAUUGCUCUACACGAAAAAAAAAAGAAAAGAAAAUGUAAGCAAGCCUUCCGUAGAGGAUUCUAAAUUGCAGGCAGCCCCAACUUGAUAAUGAUUUAGUAGAUAUUAGCUCUAGAUAGAAGCUAUUGACAGGAGAUUUAGUGCUAAAGUUAAGUGUUAGUGGGUUGAUCCCUAAUUAUCAUUUCUAGACAGUUAUUUGUCAGUUAACAGUUAGCUUUAAGUUGUGGUUUUAAUGACAAAAAAGAGGGAAGGAGACAUUGCUCUGCACGAUCCUUUGAGAAGAAAGAAGAUUGCCAAUUCGAGAAACUCACCCUGGUUCAACAACCGAUAGGUAUGAGGGAGCACUGGCAUAAAUGGACUAAGCUUGUGACGCUCUGCCAGUAAGUCCGCGAGAUAUCUGCAAAAAGGAAAAUUCAAAUAAAAACCAUCACCCAAUUGUGGAUUAACACAUCUAAACAAAAGAAUAAUCUCCAACUACUGUGAAAAGGUGACGUUAAAGUUAAGCGGAAACAGAGUCAUCAAUGAGAGUUGCACACAAUCCACAGUUAUUUAGCUUCGAUUCAAUACAACAAUUCCCAGAUCACAACUUGAACCUCAAAAAAACCCCGCAUACAACACAAUGAAAGCUUCAAACCACUAGAACUUCACCGACUCGAAAAUGUGAACUGAUCUGUUAGUACAAUCAUAACAUGAUCAGUAACUCAGAACAAAAAGCAUAAUCAGCUCAGAAAACGAACGAUGGAGCUCUAGAUCUUGGAAAUUACGGCACAAGUGAGGUGAGUAAACAAGUUUAACACUAACCAAAGCAAUGAUAAGCAAAAGAGAAAGAUCGGAGGAGUAGAAGUAAGCAGAGAAGAUGGCAAGGUGUUGAUUAACAUAAAUGUAAGAGAGGAGAGAGCAUACUUGUCAUGAUCGAGGAGGGCGGCGGCGGAGCGAAGGCCAGAAAGGUGAGGAGAGUGAGGGGCGGAAGGCGAGGGAGAGCAGGCCAUGUAUCUGCCACCGCCAGCGGCCGAUGAAGUCAUGAGUAGAAGAGAAGGGUGGUGGCUGUUGUUUGUGUGUAUAUAAAUCUAUAUUUUUUUAAUAUAUGGGUGUAAGUAAAGAGAGGAGGAGGUGUGUUUGGCACCGUGUGGUGGUGCCAGCUAUCUCAUUUCUUUAUCCUAGGCCAAUGGGCGUCGGUGGAAGUUUUUUGCUUUAAUUUUUAUUUAAUUUUUGCGGUCAGUGAGUGUGUAAUCAUUGUUUUUGACUUGCUUUUACUGCUUCCACCCAAAGUUUUAUGAUUUUAUUCCAUUUUUUACUUUUUUUUUCUUUUAUUCACACUUAAUUCUUAAUACCAAUAAAUUAAAUUUAUUCCACUAUUACACACACACACAACACAUAUAUAUAUAUAUAUUAUUUUUCGUCUCCAAUUAUUGACGUAAUGUCAAUUUUUAUUUUCUGAAAUUAGUUUUACUCUCUCUCAGUAUUACGAUUACGAUUAGUUAUAUGAAAAUAAUAAAAAAAAAAAAAACUUAAAAUUACUUUAUUGGUCCUUUUAUUUUUCUAAAUCUCGUAAAUAACCUUCUAUUAUUUCAUUGUUGCACAAAACAAAGAGGAUUCUGUUCUGCUACAAGGAGAGAAAUUGCUAUAACCCCAGAGAGGAAGAGAGAUGGAUGACAAAAUACCUUUCAAGAAUCUGCUUAGCAGAGAGUAUCAAGCUCACAAAAAGAAAAUAACAACUUUUUUUCUUUUCUUUUUACUCUCCCUUUCGUAAGAUUAUUAUUCAUAUCAAGUUAAUUCAUUUCUCUGUUGAAAGGUGCAUUCUGUGGCCUGCAAUUGCACAGGCACCAAGCUUGCUUCCGGUUCUGUCGAUCAAACCGCUCGAGUUUGGCAUGUUGAGCCUCACGGACAUGUAUAUCCCUUUCCUUUUUCCUAAUUUUCUACGUUCUUCACUGUUUCUGGCUAGUUUUCGUUUAUCCACGCAAACCAAGGGAGCAAAGGAAUCUGUGGGGGAUUUGAGUGAGGCUAUUAUCAGAACACUAAUGUUUAGUAGUUUUUAUUUAUGGGUAUCCUUUGCUUUUGCAUUUAGGAUACACUAAUACGGGCAUUUUUAGAUGUCUCAAUAACAUAUAGUCUGUUGCAUCCAACCAUUUCAUUGUGUCUUCACCAUAAGGAUGGUUAACUUUGCAAAAUUUAUCUGAAAUGAAUUUUGAUUGUUGACAUUAUAUUCGAAUAUUUCUGAGUGCUCUCUCCUCUAAAAUUCACGUUGUUGUAUGUUAACUUACCUUAAGAAUGCGGUUGACAUAUUGGAUUAGAAUUUAAUAAUGUUAUGUUGCUAAUAGUAAAGUUCUUAUGGUUAUUUUGUAAUGUCUGGUGCAGGGUAAGGCUAAAGAUAUUGAAUUGACGGGUCACACAGAUAGUGUGGAUCAACUAUGUUGGGACCCUAAACAUGCUGAUCUCAUAGGAACUGCAUCUGGUGAUAAGACUGUUCGUUUGUGGGAUGCUCGCGGUAAGUGAAUGCUCUUUUGCAUUAUUGUUUAGAAUGCUGGAGAGGGGAGGGAAAGACAACUAUAGUUUCAUGCAGCUCAGCCACAAUUCUUUUGUUGAAUAUUAUGCACUCUUCGUUGAGUCUGAAUGAAAGCUUCUUAUUGGAGGCUAACUAAAUAAAUAAUUAUGAUGUCAAUCAUCAGAUAGGUGUGUACCUUUGCCUGCUUCAGCUUUUGCAGGUGGAAAGUGCUCACAGCAAGCAGAACUUAGUGGGGAGAAUAUAAACAUCACCUAUAAACCUGAUGGGACACACAUUGCUGUUGGUAAUAGGGUAUGUCUUACUGUCUUAUGUCACUUGGAGCACUUCAGCACUUCAGUGACGUCUGAAGUUUUUACGCAUGCUAGAUUCUUAGCAGAAGAGCAGUUUCUGUUUCAUUUUUUAUCAUGCUAAUAAAUUAUUUUUAUCAUUGAUCUUACUCUAUUUUAUUUUACUGUAGGAUGAUGAAUUAACAAUAUUGGAUGUUUGGAAAUUUAAGCCUAUUCACAGACGCAAGUUUAAUUACAAGGCAUUUUUGAGUUCAUACCAAUUUGCUCUCCUCUCCUUUGUUAGUUUUAAUCACCCUUCAAAAUGAGGGUUUUGGAAAACAUAUUGCUAUUUGCACUAGUGCUUCAGUUCUCCUUUGUUUAACUUUUACAUAGAACACUGCCUUCACAAUUAUAAAGUAGCAACCAGCUUUAAAUGGCAUUCACGUAAUACAUAGUUGGCAUUAAUGAUGCCAAAUAUCAUAAAUUUUUUGGCCUUGUCUCAGUUAACUUUUUGAAACUAAUCAUAUCAAUCUAGAAAUUGGUACCUAAGAUUUAUAAGUAAAUGGAUGAAUAAAUUCAUUGAGUCAUACAUUUCUUUUUCCAGGUAAAAGAAAUUGCUUGGAACAUGACAAGAGAUAUGUUAUUUUUGACGACUGGAAAUGGUUAGAACAAUUUUUAUUUAGCCAUUACACUUUUCUCUUUGAUUCAAAAAUUGUUAUUGUUACUCCUUAAAUUAUAGGAUGUUUAUGUUCUAUACGUUGAAUGUUCUUCUCAGGUACUGUUGAAGUACUUGCAUAUCCAUUACUUAGACCAGUUGACACCCUUAUGGCUUACACAGCUGGUUGCUACUGCAUUGCAAUUGAACCCACAGGAAGGUUUGGUUUAAAUCUUAGUUUCUAAGCUUUGUUGCAUCUUGACAUUGUUGGUUGCCCACCCUCAUAUAUCCAUAUGCAUAUAUCAUAUUUUAUAAUCUAUAUCUUUAACAUUUAUAAUUUGUCACAACAUUCAUACAUGUAAGGUCAUUUUUGUUCUUUUAAUAUGGGGUAUUCAAUGAGUUCUUUUUUUCCAUGGAGUGGAUAUAGGUUUCCAAUAAAUCCAAUGUUACUCUUUUGUGGUAGAUAUUUUGCUGUUGGGAGUGCUGAUUCCUUAGUCAUCCUUUGAGAUAUAUCAGAGAUGCUUUGUGUGCUAACAUUUACAAAGCUUGAGUAAGUUGCACCUGAAUUCAUAAUUUUAUAUUUUAAUUCCUUGAUCUCAUAUAUCUGUGCUUUUAUGUAUUUGAGGUUGAGACUUUAAUCAUAUUUGUCAUGGGCAUGAAAUAACCAUUCAUGUCCUGUUGGUGGCCUGUCCGGACAAUAAGCUUCAAUUACUUGGGAGACUAUAUUGCUUCUGCCUGUGAAGACCUAUUUAUUGAUAUAGUAUGUAUUUGGACUUCCUUACAUUGGCUUUUCCUCCUUGUAGGAUACAUCUAUAAAAUAGUUAGUCAAAAAUAUUGCAUUCACUGGACGAACCGUGCAUCAAAUUCCUUGCCGAGCUAUAUGACCUAUGCAGGAGACGAGCAAAUAUUCAGCUGAUGAAGGAUAUUUCGGAUAUUGGCUUUGAAAGCAUAUUACUGUAGUCCUUCUUCUAUAGUUCUAGUUGAAAGCAUUUUCUCUGCGAAACCAACUUAUGCAUUUGUGAGUUAAGGUUGCAAAACUGAAUUUUUGCAAAUUGAGUGGAGGAGACAAUGAAUAAAGAACAAAAAUGGAACUUGGUGAGCAAAUAGUUAGGGAAAUUUUGCUUGAUGCUCUACGGUGGCUACAUACAAGUUGAUAAAAAAAUGAAGGGUGGGUUUCUUCUUUUUUUUUUUUUUUUUUCAUUUGAAUUGAAUAGAAGAACUUCUUGUACAGCAAAAAUUGAGCACACAAGUUGUGUUGCCAAAGAAUAUAUAUAUCAAAACCAUCUCACAGGAAAUAGGCAUUUCGGCAUGUUACAAGAUCUUUUUAAAUGGUUCCUUUCUUCAACAAUCCCAAACUCUGGGCUGCUCUAGGAUUAAAUAUUUUCGUGCUCUGAAACUGAGGAAUAGCAGCUGAAUGUAUCACCUCAGACACACAAGCGCCACUACAAACACUGUUUAUCUGGAGUUCUGAGUCAUAUUUCAUAGCUCCAAAAGGUUUAUCUAAUCAUUAUCGGACCAAGAUGCUUCAUCCCCAAUUAAAAGUCAAAUGGGAUUCGGCUGUUAGCAUCCAUCUACAUCGUUAUUCUCCAAUGAAAGCCAAGAGAGAUCUACAGACCUCUUACAAAUGAAUGGAAUCAGAACCCUACAAAGCCUCCAUUUGGUAUCAAAAUUUCUUCAAGGAUUGUCGAUGCAAUUUACCUUUACUCAUGUUGAUGAUUCUUUUCUGUUGCAAUCUUAAGCAAAACAACCUGCAAAGAUCGUUUCCAUUGUUGAAAUUACCACAAGUUCACAGAAAAAUCUAUUGACAUUAUUUGAAUCUAAAUGGUAAUGGGUACUGCCAUUACCUUCUUCAACUUCCAAGUUUAUCUUGUGAAUAUGGAGCCGUUGCCAUAAUAUUAAAAUCCACAGAGAAUGAAAUUGCAGCCUGGAAAUACCAAACCUGAAGCGCAAACAAGACAAAUAGUAAUCAGGUAUUGAGAGCACCAUGUUAGAGGUUUACAUUUGAUUUCAACGCUGGAGCUCUUCAUCCUCCUCCCAAUGUGAGGUUCCUUGGACAAAUCAAAGCUUGCCCCUUUCAUCCUCAGUUCUUGAAUGCAUCUUGUAAGUGCCCUGCUAUCGUUUCUCUCUCUCUGCAACUGCCUCCAAACUUUCCAGUACCUGUAAAGCUUAACCUGAACCAGAAACACAAACACAAGUGAAGUCGACACUGAAACAAUGGAUGGUAUCCACCAUUUCUUGCAAGUGUGGUGUUCUUUGGCACUAACAGAAGAUGUAAACAAAAUGUUGAAGAAAAACCCAUGAAAGAUAAAAAAGAAACAACAAAAUUGAAAAAUCUCUCUUUUGAUAGAGUACAGUCUAGAUUCUUUAAGAGCAAUUCUGCGGGCAAAAAGAUGUUCCUCUCUUUGCCACAACUUGAGAAGCAAAAGAUGGCCUGGACUCUGAGAGAUCUCCAUGAGUGGAUGGUUUCGGAUUGCUGUGAUUGUGUCCAAAGCACAUGAGAGCUUCUGUUGAUGCUCUUCAUCUACUGGGAUUUCUACGAUGUGUGCAUCUUUCAUUUCAGCCAUGACAGAAAAAUAAAAACUAUAUUUGCAGAGGAAACAAAAAAUUGAACACUGAUGAUUGUAUUAGGAUUAGAAAACAGGAGAAGAAGUAAAUAGAGAGAUUGAGGAUUUGCAGAUUAGAUUGCAUUUUUGUUGUGGCAAAUGAGAUAUUUAAAUUGGUUAGCCAUAAACGACUCAAGACUGAUAACGGUAAUAUUUGACAUUCCAACGGUCAGAUUUUCUUUCCGUAAAUCACAUUUCAUAUUUGUAACGGUCACUCCUCUUUUAUUUGGGCUCUACAAAGCCUCUUAAAUACAAAGCCCAAAUUGACAAGAGAGCAAGACCAAAAUUCUAAUUGAAUUGAAGGAAAGGUCUGUAUUUUAAUAGAAAAAUCUAUUUUUUUUUUUUUUUUUGUGGUUAGUCUGGGAAAUAAACGGCCAUGGUUGUUUAUAAAAAACAACUGAUUUUAGCAAAGCUAUGGACUCUUUCUAGUUUCUACUUUGGGAGUAUUCCUCCAAGCACUUCCAACGAAAAAGAAAAAAAAUUAAAAAAAAUCCAUAAAUUGACAUAGCAGUCGAGUCUAUUUCAUUUCAUGUUUCUUUUGGUGGCAGGGUGAUAUAUAUAUAUAUAUAUAUAUAUAUAUAUGCAGAAUCAUUCCUUGCUAUUCCGACCGUUCAACCCAAAGUGGAUAUCAUAUGCAAAAGAAACAAAAAAAAA